AGAUACAUCCAUCCAUUGGUCUUCUAAGAAACCUUAUUGUUUUAAAUUUGAGAGAUUGCAAAAGUCUCGUAAACUUGCCACAUUUUGUAGAGGACCUAAAUCUUGCAAGGUUAAAUCUGGAAGGAUGUGUACAACUAAGGCAGAUACAUCCAUCCAUUGGUCAUCUAAGAAAGCUUACUGCUUUAAAUUUGAAAGAUUGCAAAAGUCUAGUAAACUUGCCACAUUUUGUAGAGGAACUAAAUCUUGAAGAGUUAAAUCUCAAAGGAUGUGAAGAACUAAGGCAGAUAGAUCCAUCCAUUGGUCGUCUAAGAAAGCUUACUGCUUUAAAUUUGACAGAUUGCAAAAGUCUAGUAAACUUGCCACAUUUUGUAGAGGACCUAAAUCUUCAAGAGUUAAAUCUGAAAGGAUGUGUACAACUAAGGCAGAUACAUUCAUCCAUUGGUCAUCUAAGAAAGCUUACUGCUUUAAAUUUGAUAGAUUGCAAAAGUCUAGUAAACUUGCCACAUUUUGUAGAGGACCUAAAUCUUGAAGAGUUAAAUCUCAAAGGAUGUGAAGAACUAAGGCAGAUACAUCCAUCCAUUGGUCAUCUAAGAAAACUUACUGUUUUAAAUUUGAGAGAUUGCAAACGUCUCGUAAACUUGCCACAUUUUGUAGAGGAACUAAAUCUUGAAGAGUUAAAUCUGGAAGGAUGUGUACAACUAAGGCAGAUACAUCCAUCCAUUGGUCAUCUAAGGAAGCUUACUAUUUUAAAUUUGAAAGAUUGCAAAAGUCUAGUAAGCUUACCUAGUAACAUAUUGGAACUUAGUUCUCUCAGAUACCUAAGCCUUUUCGGAUGUUCAAACNNNNNNNNNNNNNNNNNNNNNNNNNNNNNNNNNNNNNNNNNNNNNNNNNNNNNNNNNNNNNNNNNNNNNNNNNNNNNNNNNNNNNNNNNNNNNNNNNNNNCCAGCCUCAAGGAGCUUUCCAAACUGUUACAUUUAAACUUACAACACUGCAAGAGAUUGAGAUAUUUGCCUGAGCUCCCUUCACGAACUGAUUGGCCUGGGAGCUGGACACCUGUUAAACAUGAAGAAUAUGGAUUGGGAUUAAAUAUUUUCAACUGCCCAGAAUUAGUUGAGAGAGAUUGCUGCACCAACAAUUGUUUCUCAUGGAUGAUACAAAUACUUCAGUGCCUCAGUCUUUCCGGCUUUAGUGGGCUGUUCAGCUUUCCAUUAUUUUCAAGUAUUAUUCCAGGAAGUGAAAUACCAAGGUGGUUCAAGAAAGAGCAUGUGGGCACGGGCAAUGUCAUAAACAUAGACAGAUCUCACUUUACGCAGCAUUACAAAAAUAGGAUAGGCAUUGCGUUGGGUGUAAUCUUCGUGGUACACAAAGAAAGAAGAAUGCCCCCUCCAGACAUGGAACAACCUUCAAUUCUUAGUAUUACAUGUGGCCCUUCUAUUCCACCCCAACAAAGAGAGGGAGUACGUGAAGAUCUUCAUAUUCCGGUUCAUUACCGUGAACAUCUUCAUAUUCCGGUUCUUUUCCGUGAAGAUCUAGUCACGGAGGAAUCGGAUCACGUGGGGCUAUUCUUUUUCAAACGUCCAUAUUUUGAUGAGUUGAAAGUGGAAAGUAGAUUCAGAGAUCUUCAUGAUGAAGAUUUGUAUGUUGAAGUGAAGAAAUAUUGGUAUCGUUGGGUAUAUAAACAAGAUCUGGAAUUAUUAAACUUAACAACGAUGCACAGUAAAAAUUCGUCGCCUGGGAAGCGCAAAUAUUUGGCAAUUGAAGAAAACAAGUAGCAAUUGCAAUUCAGCUAGGCUUGCUUCAUAGUGAAGAAUUGGAGACAUAUUUGAAUAUGGAUGCAGAGUUGAAGCAGCAGUAGCAAGAUCAAGUUCGCCUGGACUUUUGGCGUAAAUAGUACAAUCAUCUCUUUAAAAGGUACAAAUUAAACAAAUUUCACUUUGUUUGAAACUUUGGAUAAUAAGGUGAGAAGAAACGCAUGGUCUGUUAUUAGUUUUAAAAACAUAGAAAUUAAACUAUUUAUUUAUCCAGACACUAUUCCUUGCUUGUCGUUUAAUUUUUUAAUUUGUCUUAUGUAACAUGUCUUUAUUUCUUUCUCUAUGUCUCCCUUUGCUCGAUUAUAUAUGUGUGUGAUGAAAAUUUAAAUAAUUUCAGAAAAUAUAAUUUGAUAUUUGUUAAUUGUAUAAAGGCUAUCUAAUUUUGUUGUGAUUUUACCCGUGCUAUUAAGAUAUAUUACUAUCUUAAUUUAUUACCUUCAAAUUAUAGUAUUUUGUUGAAUAAACGUAUUAUGUCCUUGCGAUUAUAAUAUUUUUUUAAAUUAUCAGUAUUAUUUGGUUCCAUGUUGUUAUUGAGUAAUAUAAAUUAUUUUUAUGAAUUAUAAGGAAAUUUAGUAAAACUUUUUAGGCGUGGAACUUUAAACAAAAUGAAAUUUGUUUAAUACACAAACUUAUUUUAGUAGUUUAUAGUUUAUUUUCAAGCUACAUGGAGUAGCAGUUAACUUAUAAGUUAUUAGCAUUUUUUUUCUUCUCAAAAUUUAUUUUCACUAAUUUGUUUUAAAAUAUUUUUUAUCCUUUAUUGAAUUUAAAAAUCCUUUUACCUAUUUUAAUAUUUAUAAUUUAUUGUGGGAAACUAUAUACUAGAUGACAUAUUUUUUUUUAUUAUGAAACUUUAAAUUCUGAUUUUUUAUUUUUUAUGCAAAACUAUUUAUUUUAAUGAAUUAUUGAAUUGUUAAUUUUUUUAUUUAUAUGUAAAUAUUUGGUCCCUAAACAAAGUUAAUAAGAAAAUCGAGAUUAUAUGAAAAAAAACAAAUUUUCUUUGUUGUUUAAAAAUAAUAUUCUUAAAUAAAAUAUUUAAAUAUUAAAAAAUAAUUUUAAACAAUAUAUGCUUAUUUAAUUUAAUUAUAAUAUAAAAAAUGAAAAAUUUAUUUAAAAUCAUAUUAGUUGAUGAAAAUACUUAAAUAUGUAGGCACGUAAUUCCUUUCUUUAAGAUAAAUAAAUAAUGACUUCCACCAUAUCAUGAAUAUUUUGUUUAGUCUAGUAGCAUUAUAUUUGGUAAACUAUACUUUGAUGGCAUUUUUUGUCCACUAAGAUAUAAAUUCUUUUGUAUUGCUUGAAUACGUGCUAUCCUGUUAUAUAUGAUUAUCUUCGCAUGUUAUCAUAUCUCCAACUCUAUUUAGGCAUGAGCAAGAAGUUCUGUUCUUUCUUCGUAUGCGCAUUGUUUUCUUCGCAUACUUUUAUAUGGCUAAAUUAUAUCCUGUAUAAUAUUUUGUUGGUAUAAAAUUUACAUUCUACUCAAUGAUAAGAAGAAAGAAAAAUAAAAUAAACUUAUGCACUGGCAUAUGAGAGAACUUCACCGAUGAAAAAAAGAUAUAAGAGAAUUUUUUCAUAAAAAAUAAUUUAUAAAAUUUUUAUCUUUUAGAAAAAUUAUAUAAGAAAAAUUCUAUAAAUUAAUUUCAAUUCUCACAAUUGAAUUAAAUAACAUAUAUAUAAUGCCUACCAACAUUGCAUGUUUUAGCAUUGCUGUGAAUUUUUAUCAGACAUUGCUUCUCCCCCAAAGCCGCAAUGCUUUCUUUUCUUCUUCUCUCUCGAUGUUCCCAGUUCCACUUUCAUGGCAAAGCUUUUUAUUCCAUUAAAAUCACUUUGAGUCUCACAUGCAAUUAUAAAACAAUGUUCACAUAUCCAUUAGCUUCUCAUUGAUAGUUCCUAAUACUCAAAUCAGCUGUAUUUUAAUUUUCUCUCCUUUUUAUUCUUUUUUUUUUCUGUCAAGUUGUUGUGACCCAUAUAAGUUCUAGGUAGUAAUUUUUAAGAUUCCUUGUAUUUUGAUAUUUUAAAGAGUGAUUUUUUAAGCUCCUAGAAUCUCCAUUUGGGUGCAGGAAUAAUCUUCAUCCAUCCUUUCUUCAUGUAUUUCUCUCUAAGGGAAAGAGAAGCUAGAGCUUGAAUCAUUUUGGGUUUUGAAGAGUAUAGAUAGGUGGGAAAAGGUGAGGAUUUUCCUAAUCCUAUAAUUUUCAAUUUGCAUGCGAAUUUGAUUCUUAGAGCACUAAGUCUCUCUUUGUCUAAUUGGAUGCCAUUGUUAGUCUCAUACAUAUUUAGAACCUGUUUUUGAUGUGUAUUGAUCCCCAUGCCCCAAUUUUGUUCUGUAAAUAUGGAUUUAAGAACAGCCAUGCCAAUUGCUUUGGUGUUAAAACAAAGUUGGCCAAGGACUAGUGUCUUAAAGCUUAUUAAAAUUCAUAUAAUUUAUUUUCUUGAAUUUCUUGCUGUUGGUGAAUCAUCUAUCUUUAUACAAACAAGGUCCUAACAUUAUAAGGAAAUGUCAAAAAUGUCCCUACUUUGCUGAGGUGUCGAAAUAUUAAGCCAUGUAGUUCCCGCCCAAAAACGUCAACAUCACGCUAUGUAGUUUCUUUUUAUUUUGUCUUCGGGUUUUUAUUGCACUUUUGUUUACAAUGCGCUUCUAUUUCCAAUGCGCUUCUAUGACAGAGAGGAUGUGGGCUCAGACCAUAAUUUGCAAGAGAUAGAACACACAAUGCAAGUGUUUUGAAGCUAAACCAAGUCACCAGUAACCCUAACUGCACCUCCCUUUUGUUUGAAUGAGAAAGAAGAUGAAAUGGAAGUGGUUGGAUGGUGAAUAAAGUCACCAGCAACCCGAGUACAAGUUUGUUUUCUUUGCAGGAGAAAGAAGAAGGUGAAAUAAGUAACCCACAACCCUAAGUACAGGUUCCUUUUCUUUGCAUAACCAAACUUUGCGAUUUCCUUAUUUGUUAUUUGUUAUGUUGCGAUUUUUUUGUCAAAUUUGCAUGAGUACAAGUACGUCAUGUGUUAGUUUUUUGUUUAGUUUACGGUUUUUAUUUACUUGGUGUAUAUAUACUUCACGAUUUCCUUAUUUGCUAUUUGUUAUGCUAGGAUUUUUUUAUUAUGCUGCGAUUAUGAAGUCAAAACUGCAUGAGUACAGGUUCGUCGUGUCUUGGUUUGUUUAAUUUAUGGUUUUUAUCUACCUUUUGUUCUGAUUCCCUUACUUGAAAUAGAACCCUUUACCUACAUUUUCUUUUUGCUUUCCAAAACGUCUAUGAUUAUAUAUUUGUGUCGUAGCAGUGGCUCACUAGGUGUUUCAUGGCAUCUCCUAUGUUGUUUGCAAAGUGUUCUGCCUUUCUAUGUUGUUUGGAUUUAUAUCUACUUGGUGUAUAUAUACAUUUGUUUUUAUGUACUUGGUCUAUAUAUACAUUUGGUGAUAAACGUCUAUUUUAUUUAUGUGUGUUCUCUUUGCAACAUAGACUGAUACUUUUUGUUAUUCCCCACUAUGUGCUUCAGACAGUGUAUGUCCACAGUUUGAGGUAAAGUGUUUUGAUUCCCUUACUUGAAACAGAACCCUUUGCCUACAUUAUUGUUUUUUUUUUGCCUUUCCAAUCCUUCUAUGAUCAUACAUUUGUGCCGUAGUAGUGGCCCACUAGGUGUUUCAUGGCCUCUGCUAUGUUGUUUGCAAAGUGUUCUGCCUGUCUAUGUUGUUUGCAAAACAAAUUGAGACCUUUUGUUAUUCCCCAUUGUUUGCUUCAGACAUUGUAUGUCCAUAGUGUAUUGUGUUUUAUAAAUUAUUCUUUUGUAUUUAUAAAGAAAAUAUUGUGUUUUAUUUGUAGCGAUGUCUCGCAAGGAAAACCUGAUCUUUGAAUUGCAUACCAAGAAAGGGGCUUGGAAGAUAGCAAUAUGAAUCACUGAUAUGUGGCACGUUAACAAGCACAAUGGUAGGCAAGCAAUUAAGAUGGUGUUGAUGGACCAAAUGACGAUUUUGAUGUUAUUCGAUAUACUGUAAUUGAGUACAUUCAUUUUAGUGCUUUGAUACAUUCAUGAGUUUCAUUCCUGACUCUUGUAGGGUGCAAUGAUUGGCGUUACUCUAUGGCAAUAACUGUUUGCUGAAUUUGAGGCAAAGUUGCAUUGUGGUUCUGCAUAUUUGAUUCAGAACAUUAAAGUUGUUGACAAUCAUUCUACAUACAAAGUAAGUACGAUUUCAUUUGUGGUUUACUUGGUGGUUAUGUUAACACUUGCUAAGAUCAAAGAUCCUAAAGGUCAUUCUAAUGGAGUUUUCUAUUUCUUUUAAAUUUGCUUCUAUUUAUUAUAUGAAUGCAUUUUACAUGUAACUAUAAUAUUAUUUGCAGACAAAUAUCCCUUCAAUGUCCAAAAUAUCAAGCAUGGGUCAAAGUUGUAUGUCAACAUUGAUAUAGCAAAAAUCCAAGAAUUCCAUAAUAGGUACAAUGCAUAUAUUUUUGGAACACUCAAAUUUGACCUUCAUCUUUUGUUGCAUGCUCAUAAUAAAACCAAAAUUUAUUCAUGUUGAUGAAUGCAUAUUAGAUGUAGGUAUGUCGUUCUAUGCUGGCAGAGUAUCAAAUGAAGGAAGUGUUUCUCAAUCACAAUAUAGCUAAUAUUCCCAACGAAACUCAGUUGAAAAGUUCUUGCAUAAUGCUCAAAUGGUUAGGUUAGUUGAAAUAAGCAGACUGAGAAAGGUAACAAGUUUAACUUUCAAAUUAAUGACCCUGUUAUUUGAAUAACUGUUAUCAAGAUUAACCGUUCAUUCAUUUAUGUUUUGCAUGUACUAAUUUAGGACUGUUACUAGUUGAUCGUUGGUACGGUGGAUGAAGUCAUCAUUGAUACACAAUGGAGUUAUGAUAAUUAUCUCUACUGUACUACGACAUUUGAUCCAUUGAAAAUUGGUGUCAAUUUUUGUUCGUGCUAGAACUAAGUUACUCACACCGUUCCAAGGUAACUUAUAUGUCUCCCCAAAUUUCCAACAAAGUCAAUUCCAAUGAGUUAUUAUGUAUAUUAUUUUAGUGUUUAUUAAAAGGGAUCGAAUAUUGUUGUGUUAGGUAUAAGUUAGUUCUAAAAAUGGAACAGAAUGAGGAGAAGGCUAACUUCCAUUUUUGGGAUGCAACAUGUAUCAAAAUUUUUGGCAAAACGAUCGAUCAAUGUCGCCAAGAGUAGAUUGCAGUAUGUUUUCUGAAUUAGAAUCAUCCAUGUAUGUUAUCUAUAUUCAUAUUGCAUUUAAUUUGUUUAUUUAUUCAUAGAGUGGCGAUGAGAUCAAGGUUUUCCCUCCCUAUUUUGAUGAAUUAUUGGGAAAGACUUGGGCUGUCAGAUUUUAGUACCAUGCACGAUGCUCAAAAAGGCCUACAAUGUGUUGCUGAACCUUGGUACCAAUAUUUGAGAGACAAUGCCUUCAGUGUUGGAGAUGAGAUAUGUUUCUACUUUAGGCCUUAUAAAAAAGUAUGAGAGUUGAUAAUAAAAAAAUAGUUGGCUUGGGAUGAUAGUGACUCCAAUUGAAGAUGGUAGUUUAGUAGCUUAUUUUAGAAUUGUUUGUUGGUGAAAUUAUUAUGUGUCGUCUAUGCUAAAGUACUUCUAUGUUGUAAUUCAAUUACCUAGCAUUACCAGACAAUGUUUCCUUUCGGUAUUUACGACUAUCUGAACAACGUUACAGAACUAUAUGGUUAUUUACUAUUUGUUGAAAUAUAUAACUUCCUUUUGGAUAUAUUCAUAUAUUGGUAUAUAGUAUUAAUUUGUGCAAUCCGAAAGAACAUUGAACCCUAUCAAUGGUUGUUACAUAUAUCAAUGCUAUCCAAAAAGUUUUAAAUCUAGUACAUAAGAAGAUUUUGUUAUAAACAUUGUUUGUAAAACUUUGUAUUUUGAAAUCAACAAGUUUAUCAAUAAUACCUGUUUAACACAAAUAAGACUAAUAAAUUAACAAACACACCAAAGAUUUCAACAAAACACAAAUUCAAUAAAAUAUAACAAAUAUAUUGUAUAAAACAUUUUUGUGAAAGCUGUCAACACAAAUAACGAAAUGUAGGUACCAAAUUACUGUAGCGUUGAUAGAAGUCUCAGCCUAAACCACACAAAUGUCUAAUCAUAAACUUGGUGGGAAACAAAAAUACGCGAGGGAAUGCACAAGUCACCCUUCUUCCUUUUCUUUACUAGCUUCUCAUGACUAUCAAUGGUGAACAAUAUCAAAAUCUUCACCCAACUUCUACAACAUCAAUUCUCAUUCAAUAGUAGGUAAAAGCCGGAUGAUGAUAAAUGAUGAACAAAAUGGGAAGCCGAAAAGUAAGAUUUCCACAACAUCACAACUUCCCUCCAACAUGAACAACAAAAGAUAUAUCUUCUACUCCUAAAUCUGAAGGAAAUUUUCUAUAUUUAUACAAUUUAUUAUAUGUUAUACUUAAUAUUCUAACAGCCAUUCAUGUACCAUUAUUUGUUCUGAAACAAUAUCAUGUGGCUACUAUUCGUACAUUGCUAGAUAUACGGAAGUAAUACUACAUGUUGCAGGAUUAUAUGUUGCACCUAAAUUCUUAUUUUCAAAGAAUCACAAAAUGUUGUAGAAUACUUUAACAACUGGAAGUUCAAAUGGAAAAUUCUGCCCAACAAAGGAAAAAUAGAAAACACAUUUUGCAAAAAAGAAGACAAGGUUCUGACACUCCACAUCAGCAUUUAGCAAAUGGUAACAAUGACUACAAACCCCCAAUUGACGUGUACAUAUUAUAAUAAUACUAAUUCAAAUAUAAUAUUGUUAUUGCAGAAAAAAUGUAAGCGUAUUUCAACAUGUCACCCACACUUUAUGAUGACAGUCCUACACUACAUACACAGUGCACACCUUUUGGCAAACAUCACUUCUUCUCGAAUCAGUCCCACCAACAUUACACUAGGGAAUUCAAAUUCGACGAAAGCAUACUAUCAAUGUACAUACCAUCAACGCUUUAUCAUCUAGACAAAUCUAUUGUACAAGUUUGGGAAAGAAAAUAUAACUUCAUCAAACCUCAAACGACCAUUAACUUCUACAGAACAUACAACCACACCUGCUGCUCCAAUUCAAUCUGCCAAUAUGUCUCAACAUAUACAUUCUGGGAGAUAUACAAUACACAAAUCAAUACUAAUAUCUCACAUCUCAUAUGAUAGUGAUGACGAAAACAAUAUAAACUAGACAAACAUUGAUACAGGUAAUAUGUGAUUAUUGUUAUUACAUCUAAAAUGACUAAAUCCGUGUGGAUUAUAAUUACAUCAUGUCAAAUUGAUCACCAUGUACAUUUAACUUCUUACUUUUCUAACUUACUUAAUUGGUUACAAUAGACCACAUUUUAAAUUACACAAAUUUGUGUCAUGUAGAAUAUUCAUUUGACAACCCAACACCAAUAGAGGAUGAUGCUGAUACUGAUCAUCAUAGCAAUCAUCAUACACCAUAUGAUUGUCAAAAUACCGGUAUUGAACUUCAAACUUCAACUUACAUUUUGUUGUCUUUUCAUUUCUUUUGCACGUGGGGAGAAUCUAAACUUUUGAAUGAAUGUGUAGGUGCAACAUACAAUGAUAUUGGAGAUCCAGUUUGGCAAUGCAAGCAUUGUAAUGCUAUGAUGUGGUAUGAUGAGAGGAUUAACAAGGACAAGCAGUCCAAAAACCCAAGGUUUGUAUUAUGUAACCCAAGGUUUGUAUUAUGUUGCGGUGAUGGAAAAAUACAACUUCCUCUACUACAAGAUCCUCCACAACCAUUGAGACAACUACUAUUUGACACCAACAGUACAGAAGCUAGAAAUUUCCAACAAAACAUUCGUUCAUAUAAUCUAAUGUUUGUAUUCACAUCACCUGGUGUCAAAGUUGACACAACCUAUAAUACUAGAAGAGGUCCUUUUACAUUUCACAUACAUGGUUAAGGGCACCAUCUUAUUGGAAGCCUCCAACCUAUGGCUGAUAAUUCAUCCAAAUUUGCACAGCUUUAUAUUUAUGAUACUGACAACGAAGUUAAGAACAGGUUUUCCCCAAACCCGUAAGUUUUUAACAUUCGACAAAUUACAUGUUACAUUAAUUAUGAGGGAUCAGGGUUGAGUGUCUUAGUAGAUAUGAGUGAAAAUUGAGAAAGUAUUAAACAGAUAAACACAUUAAUAUUGCAUCGAGGGUAGUUGUAUCACUAAUCAAUCAUAAAAAAAUUUCAAUAUAACUUAUACAUUAAUUAUUAUAAAAAUUAAUAGAUUUUUCAUACAUAAAAAUUUUGUGAUUAAAUAAAAAUAUAAUUUGUGCACAUAUUAUUUAUUUAAUAAGCUACAGUUGAAGAGAAUAAAACUAUCAAAGUUUACAAGUCAUUUUCAUUCAUUUUAAAAGAGUAUAUAAAUAAAUAAAAAGUUUGCUAAGACAUUUUAAUAUCAAGAGAGUUUCUAAUACCCAAGGAUGACCUCCUUUUCCAAACUACAGACAAAAUGCCAUAAUAUCUAAAAUAGUUUAGUAGUAUAAGAAAUUUUAGAUGAAAGCUAAUUCUAAAGUUUGAUUUCCGUCAAAGAUUUUUGCAUCAUUAAUCAAUCAAAAAAAUUAAAAUUUUAACUUAUAAAACAGUUAUUAUAAAAAAUUAUCAUAUGUGAUGACUUUGUGAUUACAAGACAAUAAAAUUUGUGCACAUGUUUUUCAUUUAUUAUUUUAUAGUUAGAGAAGUUAAAAUUAUCAAAGUUUAUAAUUUAUUUUCAUUCUUUUUUGAAUAAAUAAAUUGUUGAUCCAAUUACAUGACUCCAGUUAUCAUAUAUCGUUGACACGUUUUGCUUAAACAUGGAGAAAUUAAGAAUUGUAAGAACUAGAAUAAGAAAGAUAACAACAAGAAAUAUACAUGUGACAAGGUGUUUCGCGUAAGCAUGACUGUUACAUGAAGAAAAAUAGAAAUGAAUAUUUCUAUUUUUUUCAAAUAACGUAGAGGAUUCAACUUUUUUCAUUCACCAAAAAGUAGUCUAACAGAAUAAAGAUAUUUUUUUAUACUCUUAUUUUUAGAAUUUUUAUACUUUUAUGCAUAUUUUAAUUUUUAAUCUAAGUAUUAAAACAAAAAUAAAAAAUAAAGGAAUGAAGCGGAACAACCGAGCGUAGACAUGGUAACUGACUAGUUAUUUUUUAAAAGUAGAUAGUAAACUGGCUAUUCCAUCCUCACACUAUUUCAUACUAGUCAUUUAAUCUUUUAAUUUGUCUUCGGCUCUUUGCAUAUUAUUUGGUUUCUAAAUUUAGGAAUAUCACUCCAAGCGUGAACUUCCAUGUGCCAACCAAUUUAACAUCAAGUGAAUGGUGGCUAUUGUAUCUUCAUAUAUAUCUUUAUCACAUAGAAUAAAAUGAAGUAACAAACCAAAAUGGUGAAAGGAUGCUGCCAAACCCUCCCUGGGGAUAUAAUCAAGUUGAUGCAUAAUCAAUUUGAGCAUCCGGGAAUAAUCAAGCAAAGGAACAAUGGCAAGUAGAUAUUGUUGGAAAGGAUCUGAUCUGAACAUCCUUGAACAGAAUAGACCAUGCCAGUUGCCAUUUUACUGUCACGGAUGAGUGGAAUGUUUUAUGACAAUUGGGCAUUGGUGCCAAAGAACAAAAGAGAAAGGAAUUUUUGAAGUCCCACCAGAUAAUGACUGAAACGAGAAUAUAGUGAGUGAAGGGGCUCAGUUACUUUUACAAUCACAAGUUUCUAUGAUAGCAUUGAAGUUCCUUCUUUUUCUUCCAUGUACUUAUCUUGUGUUUCUGACUGUAAAUAGACCAAAUGACCAGUGUGUAAUUGUGGUUAUGUAUAGCUAGUUGUAUUGGUUAUGACAUAUCCCGAAAGAAUAACGAGUAUAUAUAUACAACAAUCAUCCCGGUGCCCAAAAAGGAACAUGGAAAACCAACCAUGCCGGCCCCAACAUGAAAAUUAACCGUCCAUGCAAAAAUUAAUAUUAUUGAUACAAAAUGGUAAUGCACCAAAUUGUAUCGGAUAAGAAUGUAGCAAACUGUCAAUAAUCUUAUUGUGAAUUCAUUUAAUUUUGUAUUGGAUACAAAGGAUAAGUUUCAGGUACAGGUACAAUAUUUGUAGAUCAAAACACUGUGCAUACCUAAACAACUCAUAAAAGAAUUGGUAUACAGUAAUCUGCAAUUCUGCAUCACUAUGACAUGAUACUCCAUAGACUAAUUUAUGAAAUAGUGACCUUUAAAACAAUUAUAACUAACACAUGGCCCUGGAAAUCAACAUAAACCUCAGUCAGCAACAUGUUUGUACCACUACAUUAUUUCCUGUCUGCAUGUAAUCAAUGCCAAGCUGAAGCUGAAAUCAAAUUUCUCUCCUUCCAUCCCAGUAGCAUGGCCCCAUCCUUCUCCACAAGAUUAUAAUGUUCUGAAUAGCACCUCAGCAGGCUUCUUAUGACAGAAUUCACAUAAGCUGGAAAAUAUAAAGUUUGAGGCUCCCUCUGUUACUUAGCACUAGAGUAAGCAUUUCUCUUUAUUAGUUUAAGUCAAACCUCAUCCAUUUAAGCCAAAACAACAGUUGUGCCAAAAAUAAAUCUGCAUAACAGGCGUUGAAACCUACCUGACAAGAAUAUUCAACAAAUAUUCUACAAAACUUCAAAAUUUAUGGAACCAGUAAGUCCGCAAAGAGGACUUCCAGAUCUAAAGUUCACAAAAAUACCAAAGACCAACUCUGCCAGACCUUAACACACAAACUUCUGCAAGACAGCUUAUCUGGUGUCAAAAUUUGGCAGCAACCACUAACCAUUUCAAUUCUAAGCUUUCUUGAUGUUUUAGCCAUCCCACUCUUAACUUUUCCCAAACCCAUUGCACUAAGCUUGUUAAACCUUAGAGUUUAGGUUAUUUAGAAGAUUUUACCUUUUUGGUUCAAAACUCUCUAAUUAAAUAUAAGUCCUAUUGAUCAAUAGUAUGAAACACAGUUUCUUCACAAAUAAUCCCAAACUCUUCAUGAAAUAAAAAAUAUUACAGAUAAAAAUAAACUAUUGAAAUUGCUCUGCACCUUGUUCGAGACAACAAGGCCAUUGGAUUCACAGCCAAUAGAUUUUUGUCCAGAGAAUGCUUUCUGACUGCCUGCUUCCUAAUCUCUCAAGCCACCAACACCGUUUCAGACACACCUUUAAAACAACUACAGGCAUUUAAAACAACUACAGUCAAAGAGUCUCGUAGGACAAAGGAUCAAAAUAAAGAAAUUACGGAUGGCUCAAGCACCUGAAAAUAUCCAUCUUUACACAUGAAAACGAUAUAGAGUUAGUUUGGAGAAGUUUUUCAAUAAGCACUUUAAGAAAAUGAAAAAAGAAAUAAGAACUGGUCACAAAUUUAAGAGAAGUUACAAUGUACACAACAUAUUGGAGAUAACCCCAGGACCAGCAUGAGUGUGAAAAAUCAAAAUUGCCCAAAAAUAGUUCAUGCUCUGCCGAGAGAGCAUGCUGGAAACAAAGUAACAUAUAGCUUGAAAUUUCUUGAAGCGAAAAUAAGGACAUGAAUGAUUGGCAGCGAUACAUAAUUCAAAUAGGGACAUAAGUAGCAACGUAAUUGAGAUAAAAGUUGGAAACAUCUCAAACAACUUCCCUACAAAAUGAUUUCUAAGAUUUCAUGUCUUUGAUAAACUUUCUCAGAACAAUAUGAAGUUUAACUUUAAAUAGAGCAGAGGCAGCUACCACAAAUGUUCACUUUGUAAUUGUACUGUAUAAAACGACCAAAUGUACCUACCAACAAAGAGAAACUUUGAAUACUUCCAUGCCUACCUAUAAAUUUUCGAAGAUAAUAAAAAGGGCCCAAUGUCAUCAUCAAACUUAACCCUUAUGAUCUCCAACCAAAUGCAUUCACCUGAAUCAUAGAAAAAUCCAUGGAGAGAUAUUUAUUUAGCAAGUUCAUGCUCAUUGAGGCUUCUGCCCUCUCUUCCUCCUAAAUUUCUCCCCUCUCAUUGGGCUCAUUGGUAUGUUUCAUUAGAAGUCAAUUUAUUAGAGAAUUUAUAUAAGUUCAGGUAAAUUCAUUUCAAUAUUACACUGAGAGGAUUUCUGAUACUUCUAUAGAACUGCUCAAGUAAUUUAUAUUCUAUGAUAAGAACAUAAAACUUCGUACCCCAUUGCCCAGAGGCUCUUCGCUAUGCGAAGGUAUGGGGGAGGGAUAUUGUACGCAGCCUUACCCUUGCAUAUGCAAAGAGGCUGUUUCCGGAUUCGAACCCAUGACCAACAAGUCACCAAGGCACAACUUUACCGCUGCACCAGGGCUCGCUCUCAUUCUAUGUUAAGAACAUAAUACUUAAAAAAUGAAAUCAGUUGUUUACUCUUUCUUUUUGCUUCUUUUACAUUUUAAUCCUUAGAUAAGUAGCUAAUCCUACGCAAGAACCUAGCUAGCUCAUAAAAAUACUUCACCAAUUCGCACAGAUCUAUAUACUGAGAAGGGGCGGUUUAUUUUAAGUGCAUGUGAAUGGCAGACCUGGUGAUUUGCAAGCUCUCCAUCUUGAGAAGUCCACUCGAAACAGAGCAAUCACCGAAUCCACAAUCUGCCAAAAAUAAAUUUGGUCAACUGUCCAUAUCCCAUGAUAUUGCAAACUGCAUAGUGCAUAGGAAAGAUAAGUAUAGGCACGAGCAGAUAUAACAAUCACAAACAGAAUAUGUUUAGGUGUCAACACCAAACUACUUUCCUUCAGAACCUAUUAUGAUAUAUAUGAAACCAACUAAACUUAUACUGCCCCAGGAUCCAUGCCAAAUCUCUCAGCUAUGGGAACAAUUCAGUCUGGUCGGCUACAGUUAUUUGUGAAUGAACAGGAAACAUUGGUAAAAUUUGGACGACAUUAGUUGAAAAAACAAUCACAAUUCAUAAGUUAUGAGUGGAAUCUAUCUGAAUCAAGAUAUGAGUUGAAAAAACAAUCACAAAUUUGGACGACAUCAUUUGAAAAAACAAUCACAAUGCAGAGGUGAACUUAUGAAAUUAAAAAUGAGCCGAAUCUAUCUGAAUCAACAUAUGAGUUGUGUUUUCACAGCAAUUCUCCAAACGAUUGUGUAAUUGCCGAUGUUUCAACCCCGCCUUUUUAAAAAGAAAAUUUCAAAAACAAAAUAUUUAUAGCAUAUUACACCGUCAAAUUUCAAGACAGUAAGAAAGAAAUUCCCAGCGUUAAGCUACCUCCUAGCAAUUCAUCAAGCGCUUGGCUUCCGGUAGUUAGUCAGAUCACCGAACAUUAAAUCUUUUCAUUUUUUCUAUUUUCUAUCUCUACGCCCAUAGAAUGUUCUUGCUCAAGACAUGAAUCACACAAUUGAAGAACAACACAUUCUUCAGAAAUACUUAGCAGAGAUUUAAUAUACCUAACAAUAAUGUUCCCGUGCUGUUUUUUUUUUUCAAGAGAGAAAUCUCACGAAUGGUGGUGUUGGGAUCUUACUAGUUUAUUACCAUAAAAUAUAAACAUAAAAUACUUUUUAUAUUGACAUUCAAUAUGAAUUUAUCUUAUUAGUUUAUUACCAUAUCAUAUAUAUUAUAGAAUCAGAUAAUGUGGCUGGAAGACUAAUUUCUUUUUGAAUGUUUAACAAGCAUGUGCUAUUUAAAGAUAUAAAAAAAUGAAUAUUAAUGAGUGAAAGUGGCUCGUGAAAAUGAUGAUUUGAAACAAUAAACCUUUUGUCUUUGUUUAUUAUAUAUUUCAUCCAGGUGGUGUUUUUCACAAACUCUAAAACAGAAGCAAACAAAUUGGCCAUGUUGAUAGCAAGGUUGUACAUCGGGUGCCAUGCAUGACAUAAUAUCUCUAAGGAAGGCUUACCAUAUAUGGUAAUGCAACUCGGACAAUGGGAGCCAUAGCUCAAAGCAUCUAGAAAUUUAAUGCAGUGCAAAUAUAAGCUAAGCAUUUAUUAGAUUCAUUUUUAAAUUUUAUAUAUGAUUUUUUUUUUCUAAUUUCAUGUCCAUAGGCUUCCAAAUUUUCGGAAUAAAGAAGGCAGCAAGACACUCUGUAAAUCAUCAUAAUACCUAAAUAAAGACAAGGUUCCAUAUCUCAAUGUAGGCAGGAUCAUCAUCCUUAUUAACCAACAAUGCAGCAUCACGGUUAACAAUGCUUUUGUUAAAUUGACAAGCAAAUUGUGACAGCAAUCUAAUAAGAAUGAUCCAAAUUAGAGAAAUGAACUAAGAUUUCUAUUCUGGCACUUCCUGGAUCCCUAGCUAAGUAUCAACAAGAUACAUGAAGAAUCAAAUGAAAGUGUAACCCUUCCAGUAUUAGAAACAUGAAAAUUUUCCAACCGAAGCCUCAAUUCAAUCACACAUCCCCACCCCCUAACUAACUUCUUUUUGCAUAAUUUAUUUCAUCUAAUCAAAUACAUUGAAAUAUUUAUUGGACAGUUUUUAUUAUAACUAAGUUUUAAUUCCCUGUAAAUAUGUUCCAAAAUCAAGUUCAAAUAUUGUGACUUAAUUUUAAUCAACAAAAUUAUGGAUGGGGUCUGGAAUUGUAAUAAAUUUUCAUUUCAACUUUUUUUCUAUAAAUAAAAUGAACACUUUAGAUGAAUAAGUUGGAUGCACCAAAUUAUCAUAAUAAUAAGAUGCACCAAAUUAUCAUAAUAAUAAAUGACUGACCCGCGUAUACAAAGAGCAUUCCGUAGGUCUCUAGAAGCUGCAACAACUUUCUGCAAAGUGCCGUUCUAAUUAAGCUUUCCAUAUUAUAUUCAAGAUGAAUUACAAUAGCACUUUCUUAAUCUCCUCUUUUCCUUAAUUUAUUUAAAACAUAGUAAAAUGGGACUUGAUGCACUUUACCUAAGAAUAAAAAUGAUAGCAUCUCAUUAUUUUUUCAAAUAUAUAAAUGGACUCAUAGCACAUAGUUCCAGGACUUGCUGUUGAAAAACAGUGUAACAAAGUUCCUGGUGAUGAAACAAAAAGUUAUUAACAAUAAUAUUCAACAAGAAAAAAUGCAAUAUUUGGUUCACAUUUUUUAUUCCACAAAGUGAGUAAACUAUUUAACAAAGCAUCACAAUGACAAUUUUCUUCCGGUGGUCAUGAUUCAAGGUGAAGAUGGCACAACCAUAUAACUCAAUUUUCUUCCGGUGGUCAUGAUUUACUAGCCAUGAACAAUUUUGCAUUUUAAAGAAAUUUACCUAUUAACAUACAUCUAGAAAAAGGAAAGGUGGUGAGCAUGAAAUGAUCAUGGAGAACGAUCCUGUCUUUGGUUAUCAAAUAAUCUAAUUCAUCAGCGACUAUGAAUUUGUUACUAUGAAGGUACAUUACUUCUUUGUUAGCAUCCAAUUAAAAAGAUAAAAACAUAACUUCCGAUAUCUAUGCAACUUGUUCACAGUCAUCAAUCCAUAACAUCACUAAGAGCAUGAAACCAGCAAGUAUAUCAUACCUCCUUAGCCCAAUUGAGUAAUUUAUCUUUCACUUUCUCCAUAGAUAAUGAUUUCCCAGGACACCCGCAUAUAUAGAGACUCUCAGCCUUCUUGUGCUCAACGCACCCCUUGCAAUUCCAAAACCAUAUCCUGCUCCUCGCGCGACACACAACCAAAGUCAAUGCAGUGGACAAGUGCAGUGCCAUCUUUGUCCUCUUCAAUUGCUCACCAUCUAAUUAUUUUUCCUACCACAAUAAAAACAAAUAAAAAUUACCACAACAAAAAAGAAGAAAGAAAGAAAAGAAACGAAUCUAAAAUCUCACCUUUGGGAUUCUACUUGGGUUUCAUAGCUGCUGGAUUAGCUUGGUUUUCGUCGGCGACAAAUCUGUUUUUCUGUAAAUGAGUGAACAUAAAUCAAUUAAUUAGGGGUAUUGAAAGAGAGGAGAGAGUGAACACUGGGAAUUAGGGGUUGCGGUGGUGCAUCAGUAGGGGGAUUUGAGAGGGGGCAAGGAAGGGUAAGAUCGCAAUGUGCGCUUGGGGUCGAUGACUGGCAUUGUGCGCAAGGUGAGAGAAUGGUGAAGAGAAAUGGGAUUAGGAUUUUGAAGGUUGAUGAAGAAAAUGAAAAUGUGAUCUAGUAACAGAGGGAAUAUGUGACAUCAAAAUCAGAAAUAAACUCAAGAAUUGAAAAGAAUGCAGAAGAAAAGAGGUAACAUACUAGGGAUUUUGAACAUGAAAGUAACAUUGUCACUAUUGUCGUCGGCCUUGAUGGUUAUGAUGUCAUCAUUACCAACCCAUGGAGAUGUUGCAGUCACAGCGAUAGUGCUCAAAGCACUCAAAUCAAAGGAGGAGCCAGACGAGGGUGAUAUGACUGGAGUCCAUGGCCUGGAGGGAGAACCCGGUGGAGGAGCAGUCAAAGUUUGCAUUAAUAUAAAAGAUCUAAUAACAUUAGUUUUUAAAUAAAACCAUUGUUUUUAGAAGUGACUCAACAUCGAAUUUUGAAAAACCGAUGUUAACAUUAUACUAGCAAUAUCGGUUAUUCCAAAAACCAAUGUUGAGUUUCUGUUAGUAACAUUGGUUUUUCAAAAACCGAUAUUAUGUUUCUUCUAGUAAUAUUUGUUUUUUAAAAUUCUGAUGUUAACAAAAUUACAAGUAGUGGCAACUGAAGAAAACAGGUAGUAGCAACUGCAAUUCGACUAUACUUCUGUCAUAGUGAAGAUCUGGAAGCAUUGUUGAAUAUGGAUGCAUUAUUUGCAACAAACAUUCCAAAAAAGGAUGCACAGUAGAAGCAGCAAGUAGCAAUCAAUUUUACCAUCACUUCUGGUUUUGGAUAGACAGUCCAUUCAUCUCUUUACAGGAUGCAAUAUUGUUAUAGUAAAUUCUACUUUGUCUGAAUAAGGUGAAAAGAUAUGCUCAUGGUCUUUAUUAUUUUUUAAGAGAUUCAAUAUUGUUAUGGUAAUUUCUAGCUAGUUAUUUUGUCACAAACACUAACUUGUCAUUUAAUUUGUCUUUGGCUCUUCGCAUAUUAUUUCUUCCUCCUCCCAUCUCUUUCUCUCUUUCUCUCUUUUGGUGGUGUAGAACCCAUGAACUAACAUAUAGUUGUAUCUGUGGUACUAGGCAGACCACCAAAACAAGCAUGAUGAAUGCUGUAGGUUGUUGUGACCACCGCAUAUUUCAGGUAUCAAGUUUAACAAUGAUGCAAUACGGAAAUUCGAUGCCUUGUAAGCGCAAGUUUUUGGCAAUUAAAGAAAAAAAGUAGAAACGACAAAACAAAAAUGAAAAUUCAUUGUGAAGAAUCGGAGGCAGUGUUGAAUAUGGAUACAAGAUUUGCACCAUUCAAACCAAAAAAGGAUGCACAAUAGAGAAGCACCAGUAGCAUUAUUUGGUUUCUAAAUUUAGGAAUAUCACUCCAAGCGUUAACUUUCACGUGUCAAGUUAACAUUAAGUGAAUGGUAGCUCUUGUACCUUCAAAUCUUUAUCAUAGAGAAUAAAAUGAAGGAACAAAGCAAAAUGGUGAAAGGAUGCUACCAAACCCUCCCUGGGAAUAUAAUCAAGUUUAUGCAUAAUCAAUUUAAGCAUCUGAGAAUAAUCAAGCAAAGGAACAACGGCAAGUAGAUAUUGUUAGAAAUGGUCUGAUCUGAACAUCCUUGAACAGAAUAGACCAUACCAGUUGCCAUUUGACUGUCACGGAUGAGUGGACGGUUUUAUGACAAUUGGGCAUUGGUGCCAAAGAACAAAAGAGAAUGGAAUUUUUGGAGUCUCACCUGUAAUUACUGAAACGAUAAUACAAUGAGUGGAGGGACUGUAAACAAUCAAACAGCUGAUAUGGAGAUUUAUGUUAAACGAGACUUAAUUAAAACAAAUGAUGGAUUGAUCAAAACCAUAACUUUCUAAUAGCUAUUGAUGAUAUGUAUUCUUUUUAACAAUUGUAUUUAAUUGUGAAUUAAAUUACUUACAUUAAUAAAUAUUUAGAAUAUAUUUUUGAUAUUUUUAAAAACAUUUUUAUUGACGUUUACAAAUUUUUAAAACAUAGUAUAAUUAAGAAAUAAUUAAAUUAAUAUAUACUAAUUAGUAUAUCAAUUAAAUAUUUUAAAGAAGUUUAGCAUAUUAUAUACUAGUUAUAAUAUUAUAUUAAAUUUUAUGCUUAAAUAUUUUUUUUAUUCUAAUAAAUAUUUAAUUUUGUAUUUACUCUUUGAUAAAUUUUUAUUUUGCAUUCAAUUUCUAAUAAAAUAAUAAUUUUAUUUUAAUCCUUAAUAAAUUAACAUAUUUUAUAUUUGUUCCUUAAUAAAUUAAAAAAAAUAGUUUAGUUCUGACUAAUAAAAAAUGAAAUAUUUUUGCAAGAGAACAAAGUUCCAUAAUUUAGCAAUGUUAAAAAAUGACAAAAAUAAAAAUAAAAUUUUUAUUUUAUUGAAGAAACACAGUAUAAAAAUGGAUUGAGUAAUUUCUAAUUUGACUCGCGGGAACACUUAGCUUUCACUGAGAAGAAGCUCCGUAGAAAGUGUGAAGAAGUUUCGGAAAGAAAGAGACGUUCACCUUUUGCUAUUUUUUAAAAUUGACUUGACUUGACUUAUAUUUCAUUUCAACAAAUUUUCUUCCACUUUUGUCAAUUGCAAACAGUGGCUUCUUCAUCUCACGCCAUGGCGAAGAAUGAUGCGUUUUUGAGCUUCCAUGGUUUAAACACCAUUGCAAUCUAUAUAGCCGUUUCUGAUAGGCUCAGCUUAGGCAAACUGGCUUCGAGGGCCAGGACCUCCAAGGAAGAAGAAGAAGAAUAGAGGAAAGUGCUUCUGUUUCAUUGUUCUGCCUAUUUUUUAUGAUGUUGAUCCAUCAGAGGUGCGAAAACAGAUUGGAUGUUUUGGGAAAGCCUUUGGGAAAGCCAGAUGGAGAGAAGCUCUCACACGUGUGGCUAAUCGAUCUGGUUGGGUUAUUGGAAAUGAGUCAGUAAUCCUCUCUCAUUUCAUGCUGAAUUUUCAUUUAUUAUCUAUAUCUGCUCUUAGUCAUAUUUCUUUUUUUUUUUUUUUAAAUCUUUUCAGGUCAUACUGUGUACACAUUCCAGAAAUGGUUCGAAAGGUAACAAUAUAUUAAAUUUGGUCCCACAUUUUCAAGUCUUCCAAAGGAUAUAAUCUGGUUAGGAUGGAAUUUCGAGUUAAGGAAUAAGCAAAGGUUUUACAUUUUGGGUUGGUUAAUGAUGUUCAGGUUGUCGGAAUUUCUCAAAUAGGAAACAUAACUAUGGGUCUUGCUUUUUAUGAAAGAAUAUAGCGUCAAUCAUAUUUUUGCUGUUUUAUUGAGGGUGUAAGCUAGUUUUGUCAAAAAUGCUAAGUAUAUUGGAAAGCUGCAACGAGAAAAUAAAAAAUGCCUAAACUGAAAACAGGGAAUGUUAUAUAUGGUUAUGUUAGCUUGGGAGAAAGCAAAGUUGGAAAAUAAGGUGUGGGUGCAAUCGUAUCAACUUCACAUAUAUGGUUAUGUUAGCUUGGGAGAAAGCAAAGUUGAGUAAUUAACUAACCUAAUAUUUCUUCACUGCCCACUUCGUUUGUAUCCAGAAACACUUGUCCCUGCUUCCUUCAACUUCUGGAAUUGCAUUGGCUUCUAGCACCAUCAUGCAUGCAAUAAGGACAUAUGAUGUGUUUGUGAGCUUCCACGGUUUAGACACACGCAACAAUUUUGCUGCUCUUCUUCUUCAAGCUCUCCAUAGGAAUGGCAUUGAUGCCUUCAACGAUAAUGUACAUGUCAUGAAAGGUGAAUUCAUUGAAUCCGAGCUGUAUAUGGCCAUUGAUGGGUCUCGCAAUUUCAUUGUGGUCUUCACAAAGAACUAUGCUUCCUCAACUUGGUGCUUGCACGAACUAGCACGGAUCUGCAUGAACAUUGAAACAUCAACAAGACGAAUUCUGCCCAUUUUUUAUGUUGUUGAUCCAUUAAAAGUGCAAAAGCAGAGUGGAUGUUAUGAGAAAGCCUUUAUGGAUUACGAAGAAAGAUUCAGAGGAGCUAAAGAGAGGGAGCAAGUAUGGAGAUGGAGAAAAGGUCUGAAACAAGUGUCACAUCUCCCUUGUUUGCAUAUCCAAAAUGAGUAAGUAGUCCUCUCUCAUUUAACAAAAGAAAUUCAUUUCUUACAUAUAUAUGCACCAAGUUAUCUACAUGUGCAUAUAUUUCCUCGCUUCUCAGUCAUGCAGUUUUCAUGAAUUUACUAUCCCUUUCUAAACUAGACUUGAGAGAUAUUGAAGAGAUAACAUGUUACACAUGUUUAAUACAAAUAGUAUUUUAUAACAGAAGAAAUACUUUUAUUAUGCAAAUAAUAUUUUAAAACAUAAAAUGUACUGUUAUUUUCUUGUCCAACACAUGUACAUUUUGUUUUGGUUUGCUAGGGUGAUGAUUUGGAAUUCUUCAUUCUCUUUAAUUUUUCAGUCUACAACAUUUACAACAGGCAGAGAUCGAAGAAAUUCUUCAAGAGAUAAUAAAUAUAUUGAAUUUCUAAUCUUCAAGUCUUCCAAAUGAUGAUCUAGUUGGGAUGAAAUCUAUUGUCAAAGAAGUAUACUUGCACAAAAUUAUUGUUUUGGUUGUCAUAGGAUACUUGUGUUAGAUAUCAUUCUUUUUCUUUUGGAUGUAAUGUUUGCCAUAGGAUGAUACAAUUUCUGAUCCUUUUUUAUGAAACUUAAACAUAGCCUGUGAAUUUAUGUCUAAUAAGCUUUUUCUUAUUUGAAUCAAUUUAUUAAUGUAUAAUAUUAUGAUCUUUAACUCUACAUGACAGCAUGAAGAGAAGUUGAAACAAAAGGAUUCUUCAUUUGAGCCAAUCUGAUAAAGUCAUCUUUGUCUCCUACUUUCAAGUAAUCUGUUUCAGAUUUUUAUCUGAACAGACUAUGCCCUGUUCUUUGACUCUUACAUUUGAGGGCUUGACUAGUAUUUUCAUGGAGACUGUUACUGGACAAAUUGCCUUCAUGUGAACAACUUCAUCAAAGACAUGUUCAGAUUCAAAACUUAGAAGCUUCUUGUUAUUUUUGUUACUCGAGAAAGGAAACCACGCAAUACUUAUUUCUCAUGCGUUCUGAGACUAUUCAGAUCGAUGUUUUUCUUUCCUUCAUGGUUUCGUUGGCAGCUCGACUAGCGUCUCUCUGACAUGCUACUGUCGCCGUCCACGCUUACUCUAACUGGUGCUUAACUCAUCCGUCACUUCACCAAAGCCUCCCCAUAUCGUCACGCGCGUGUAGGUUGCAAGAUCUACAGUAGUGUGAAGGUUUUCUCUAAUUUAUGCUCCAGUUGGGUUUCUGUGUUUGGGGUUAUGGGGUUCUUUUUUAAUUUUGAUUCGUAUGUGAUUUUUAGCUUUUGACUACCGACAUCUCUAUCACAUUCUCCUAUUCUUUGUGUUACUGAAAUCUUGACUGAAGAUGAAUAUGAUUCUUUUGUGAAGUUUCACUGUCUCUUUUUGAAAUCGUGAUAUUGAGUACAAUUUAAGGACCUGAGGGUCCAGAGGAAGUGAAAGAAAUUCUUCAGGGAUUGUUGUGUGGCAAAUUUCGGUUGAGAAAACAUGAGUUGGUGCAGGAGGAAGAGAAUAUUUUCCUUUAUCUUCAACCUAUCUCAAGCAACAUGGGUCCUUGAUUUUUUUUUCUUUAGGAUCUUCUACCUACAACUUGAAAAUAAUUUCUAAAUUUUACUGAUAUGUGCUUGCUAUAUUUCAUUUUUUUUUUUUUUUGCAUCAUUUUUUCCAUUUUAAUAACUAUUUCCUCUUGUAUCCUCAGACUCUGGUGCCAGACCACCCUCAUUCAAUGCAAAAUCAUGAGGCUUUAAUCAUUGGGUAUCUUUUACUCUAGGUAAAAAGCUUUUUACUAUUUUUACAUGUUAUAUCCAGACUGUGGAUUUGAUUACAUUUCAAUAAACAUAGCUUUGGCUCUGAACAAUCUUAACAGGACAAACUCAAAUGCAUUAAGUGUAUGUUUGGAUGAUUAAUUACAUUUAGUUACUGAAAUAUUGCAAAUUUUGAGCCUGAGUAUGGACUAGAUCCAAUGCUUCAUUUCGCUUUGGUUGGAUCUGAGCGGCAAGUCAGAAUUCAAGGUAGAGCUAGCAAUUGGCAGGACAAACUUGUGGUGACCUCAACACGUUCUGUGGAAUAGGAUGCAUUCCCAAAUGAUUAUCUUGUUGGGAUGGAAUCCCGUAUUGAAGAAUUAGAAAAGCUUUUAAUGUUCAGAUCAAUUAAUGUCGUUCGAGUUGUCGGAUUUAGUAGGAUGGGUGGAAUAGGAGAGACAACUCUUUGUAUGAAAGAAUCUAUCAUCAGUAUAAUGUUCAUUGUUUUAUUGACGUUGUGGGUAAAAUUUAUCUCAUUUUCAACACAUCAGGUGUACAAAAACAAUUGCCUUCUCAGUGCCUAAAGGAAAAAAAUGUAGAGGUUUGCAUACAAGAGCACUAAUAUUACUUGAUAAUGUUGAUCGAGUUGAACAACUAAAUUUGUUUACUGGUAAUAGAGAGACUCUAUUACGGCAAUGCCUAGGUGGAGGGAGUAGAAUCAUUGUAAUUUCUAGGGAUGAACAUAUACUGAAGACACAUGGAAUACGUAGAUGAUGUGCACCAAGUCAAGUUGUUGGAUAAAGAAGCCGUUCAGUUGUUUUGCAUAAAUGCUUUCAAAGGUUAUUAUAUUGAGACUUGAGAGUGAUUAUGAAACACUAACACGUGAAGCACUAUCACAUGCUCAAGGCCAUCUCAUUGUCUUUUGAAAUGGGAACAUAAUAUUCCGCUUCUUUUCCAUGGAGAUCUAGUCAUGGAUGAUUCAGAUCACAUGUGGCUAUUUUAUAUCACUCGACAAGAUUUCAUUGAAUUAUAUAAAUUGGGAGGGAAACGUUCUGGUGAUUUUGAAUUUAGAAUACAUGAUGAUUGAUAGAGCAGAGAUGAAACGAUUGUAAUAAGGUAUUUUAUUGAAUGUGUGAAUAAUGGAAAACUGAAUACAAACCAGAGCCAAGCUCCUCAGCAGAGAACAAACUCUCUAACUGCCUAACCACAAGGGCGAAAGCAAAAUGAAUAAUCUCCCCCAUAACUAAUUCCCACUACUCUACUUAUUGAGGGAAUAUCCUAACCGAAUGCCACCUCAGCUAUCACACUUUCUUUGUGACUCCUUUCUUAAUCCUUCUUUCAUACACGCGCCAAACUUUGGGCUCAACAUUCUUUUUGUUAACCAAUACUUCACCUUCACUACUAACAGACCCACUUCUAUCAUCACCCCCUCCUGCAACAACAGCCUUGUCCUCAAGGCUGAAAUCUGGGAAUUGACUCUUUAACAAUAAUUCCUCUUCCCAUGUGGCAUCUCCAAUAUCCAUGCCUUCCCACUGCACCAGCCAUUCCCUAGUAUGUUUUCCAGCAUCAAAUUUGUCUCUCCACGACAACAGCUUGGCAGGAACCACAUCCUUUUUCUCCAAUUCCAGGCUGGCAGGCAAGUCAUUAGACACUGUGUAGUUACCCACUGCCUUCUUAAUUUGUGAUACAUGAAAAAUAGGGUGAAUUUUUUAUGUUGCCGGCAACUUAAGCUUGUAUGCAACUGGACCAACCUUCUGAAUGAUCUGGUAAGGGCCAAAGAACCUGGGAGCGAGUUUCUGAUGAAUUCUUUGCACCACAGAUUGUUGUCUAUGAGGCCAUAAUUUGAGAAAGACCCAAUCUCCCACGUCAAACUGCACUUCCUUCCUUCUUUUAUCAGCUUGCAUCUUCAUUUGCUCUUGUGCCUUCUGUAAAUUGAAUUUCAGUUGUCUCAAUGCCUCAUCUCUAUCCCUCAAUUCUUGAGCCACCGCUUCAACUCUAGUUUCACCCUCUAAGAAGUGCACCAACACCGGUGGUUUUCUGCCAUAAACCACCUCAAAUGGUGUGAAACCAGUAGAGAUAUGAAAGGUAGUAUUGUACCACAAUUCAGCCCAUGGCAAUGGGCCCAUGACUUUGGUUGGUCAGAUAUGAAGCAACGAAGAUAAGCCUCAAGGCACCGGUUGACUACUUCCGUUUGACCAUCCGUUUGAGGAUGGUAUGCUGAAGACAUUUUGAGCACAGUCCCGAUCAGCUUGAACAAUUCCUUCCAAAAAAUGCUCACAAAUAAAGGGUCACGAUCACUGAGUAUAGACUCCGGAACGCCAUGAAGCCUCACCGCCUCUUUCACAAAAAUAGAAGCAAUGGAACGGGCUGUGAAAGGGUGCUUGAGGGGAAUGAAAUGACUGUAUUUCGAGAGGCGAUCAACUACCACCAAAAUAGCUUCAUAGUCGUUGCUCUUAGGUAAGUUAGUGAUAAAAUCCAUAGAAAUUUCACUCCAUACCAACACAGGAAUAGGCAAGGGCUGCAGCAAACCACUAGGUGUGGUGGCAGCAUAUUUUUGCCUUUGACAAGUAUCACAAGCCUUCACAAACUCCUGAACUCUCUUCAUCAUGCCCUGCCAGUACAACGUUCCAGCCAUUCGUCUAUAUGUUCUGAGGUACCCUGAAUGUCCUCCACUAGGAGAUGAAUGAAAAUCGCGCAGUAAAUCAUCAAUUAUUGGAGACUUAGCUGGAAUGACCAACCUAUUUUUGUAGAACAACACCCCACCUUUUAAAACGAAACCUGGCUUCGAUGUAGGGUCCGAUUGAAUAGCUUUAAUGAUUCCUUUGAGGACUGGAUCUUGCAUAACUUCUUGCUGCAGCUGUUUCCCUUGAGUCCAGAUCGGAAAUGACAACAUGGUCUGUAUUGUUGCCUCUUCGUGUUGCAUUGAUAACGCAUCCGCCACCUUAUUCUCCACUCCUACCUUAUAAACCACUUCAAAGUCAAAGCCCAGCAAUUUAGCCAUCCAUUCUUGCUGGUUAGCCGUCGUGAUACGUUGUUGUAGUAAGUGUUUGAGGCUCUUUUGGUCAGAGUAUACCACGAAGCGCCUACCCAACAAAUAGUGUCGCCAGUGUUGAAUAGCUAAAACUAAUGUCAUCAACUCCUUGUCAUAAGCUGAUUUGGAUAGUUUAGAGGCAGUAAAUGCUUUACUGAAGUAAGCAAUAGGGUGCUUCAUCUGCAUCAACACAGCCCCAACACCUUUACCGGAGGCAUCACAUUCAAUUUCAAAGGGCAGUUCGAAAUUGGGUAAGGUAAGCACAGGCGAUGAAGUAACAGCAGUUUUUAAUGUCUGAAAUGCUUUUUCCGCCUCUUCAUUCCACUUAAACCCUUCCUUCUUUGUCAACUCUAUCAAGGGUUUAGCUAUUUUCCCAUAAUUGGCAAUGAAUUUCCGAUAGUAUCCGGUCAAACCCAAAAAUCCACGCACCCCUUUUACACUAGUAGGAACUGGCCACUGCAAAACACUCUGCACCUUGGCCGGAUCAACCAUCACCCCUGCCUUAGAAAUGACAUGGCCUAAGUAUUCGAUCUUUUCUUGGCCAAAAGCACAUUUGUUCUUAUUCGCCACAAACUGAUGCUGUUGGAGGACUUGCAGCACCACAGCUAAAUGUUGCAAAUGAGUGUUCCAAUCACCGCUGUAUACUAAGAUGUCGUCAAAGAAUACGAGGACAAAUCUUCUCAAAUAAGGUUUAAAGAUCUCAUUCAUCACAGAUUGGAAGGUAGCUGGAGCGUUAGUCAGACCGAAUGGCAUCACCAUAAACUCAUAAUGACCUUCAUGGGUUCGAAAAGCAGUCUUAUGAAUAUCCUCCUCCUUCAUUCGAAUUUGAUGAUAACCCGAUUUCAAGUCUAACUUCGAAAAGUAUGCAGAACCAUGCAAUUCAUCAAGUAAUUCAUCAACCACAGGAAUUGGAUACUUAUCUUGUAUGGUGACCUUGUUCAAUGCGCGGUAAUCAACACACAUCCUCCAUGAAUGAUCUUUCUUCUUGACCAAAAUGACCGGACUCGAAAAAGCACUAGUGCUAUUUCGAAUUACUCCUUGUUGUAACAAAAUCUGAAUAUGUUUUUCAAUCUCAUCUUUAUGAUGAUGAGGAUACCUAUAAGGUCGAACACUCACAGGCCCAGCACCAGGUAACAACACAAUUGAAUGGCUAUUGUUCCUUGCUGGAGGCAGACCCAUUACUUCACAAAAAACACUGGAGAACUUAGUCAGCAACGCUUGAAGCGCUCUGUUUUGCACCUCACUAAGCCCAGCUUCAGCCUUGCCCUUUACUUCCAUCAAAGUAGGAGACCCUUCAUUAGCAAACACACUGGAAGUGGUCACGGCACUCUGGAAUGUGGCCAUUUUCUCCUCCAAGGGCUGACCAAUCAACUUCACCAAAUUCCCGUUGUAAUUGAACACCAUAGACAUCUCCUUCCAAUCCAUAGUGACCUUGCCAAGAUUUUCAAGCCAAACUACUCCCAAAAUUAAAUCCACACCUCCUAACUCCAAAAUAUAAGCAUCAAUGGUAGUCUCCAUUUCCCCCAAUACCAAGGAAAUUGCCGCACACUUACCCAUAGUCAAAACACGAUGAUCAUCACCUAACUUGACUCCCAAGGGCUUGGAAGGGACCAGCUGUAAACCCAAAGCUUCCACCACUUUGGGAGAUAUGAAGUUAUGUGUUGCACCACUAUCAAUUAGAACCAAGAUGUUUGCCCCUUGCAAAACACCCUCCAGCUUCAUGGUACGAACUUGUGAAGAGGUAGAAGACACACCAAACACCCCAAGUCCUUUACAUUCCAUUUCGUCAGACUCUGUGUCCUCCUCUGCCGCUGUUUCCAACACCACAAUUUCACCCUCAUCGUUGAUGGCCUCAUCAUCACCCAGAAUAAUCACUCGCAACUGCUUCGUAGCGCAUUGAUGGAGCGGAUCCCAACGUUCAUUGCAUCGAAAGCAUAAACCCUUUGAACGACGCUCAUUCAUCUCUGCUGCCGGAAGAUGACGGACACCACGGGGAUUGCGACGACCACCUUCACCGGCGUUCAGGCGAGAACCGGAGGAUGGUGCGGAUGAACGAGUCGAUCCUGUCGAUAGAGUGGACCCAGAAACAGAUCGGGAAAUUGAAUUGGAUUUCCCCAAACCACCGCCAGAUUGGGCCGGAUUAGAUGACCCGUUUCCAUCCCCUUCACGUUGGGUCCAAACCUGUUUCUGUGGGCGAGCCCAACUCGCUUGACCCGGCUUGUGGCGAGACCCGACUCCCUGACCCGACACGUCAGCGAACUCACGUUCAACAUCACGUGCCAACUGCAUCGCCAAAUAACGAUUUCGUGGUUUGAAGGUACGCACACGGGAACGAAUAUCAUGACGCAACCCUCCGAUGAAAUACCCCAGAAACUGUUGUUCCGGCAACCGUCCACACUGGGAGGAGUACAGUUCGAAUUCCGCGACGUAUUCCUCCACCGAACCGUUUUGUUUCAACUCCUUGAGUUCUUCAAACGGGUUCUCCAAACGUCCACCGCCAAAUCGAAUCAUCAUCGCCUCCGUCAGAUUCUCCCAUGUCAACUCCUCUGUUGAAUCACGCCAGAGAUUGAACCAGUGAAUAGUAGGGCCUUCCAUGCUGAGUUUGGUCAAUUGAAUACUCACCUCCUCAGAAAUUCGCUGCACUUCAAAAUACGUCUCAGCUUGGGUAAUCCACGCCACGGGAUCGUCGCCGUUGAACGACGGCAACUCAACUUUCUUGGCAGAUAAACGAAAUUCAUCCAGGGGUGAGGUAACUGAGUCACCACCCGGUGGAGGAGAAGGACGACUCGCCAUCGCACGCUGAAUCUCGGCGCCGAUGAACUCGCGUAACGAUACAAUACUGGCUUCCACGCGUUCCAAACGAUCUUCCACUGCUGUGACACGAUCAGCCAUCUUUGGGGCUCGGGGCAUCAACAACGGUAGGUCGGACCAAUUGAUAGAGCAGAGAUGAAACGAUUGUAAUAAGGUAUUUUAUUGAAUGUGUGAAUAAUGGAAAACUAAAUACAAACCAGAGCCAAGCUCCUCAGCAGAGAACAAACUCUCUAACUGCCUAACCACAAGGGCGAAAGCAAAAUGAAUAAUCUCCCCCAUAACUAAUUCCCACUACUCUACUUAUUGAGGGAAUAUCCUAACCGAAUGCCACCUCAGCUAUCACACUUUCUUUGUGACUCCUUUCUUAAUCCUUCUUUCAUACACGCGCCAAAUUUUGGGCUCAACAUUCUUUUUGUUAACCAAUACUUCACCUUCACUACUAACAGACCCACUUCUAUCAAUGAUCAAUAUUUUCAUGCUGAGGUGAAGAAAUAUUGUUAUAGUUGGGUAUAUGAACAGGAUCAACAACUAUCAAACUUAACAACAAUGCACAUACAGCGAAAAUUAGUUGCAUGCCUAUAUGUGUGUGAUGAAAAUCACAAUAUUUUCAAAAAAUAUAUUUUGACAUUAGUUAAAUUCAUAAAGGCUCUCUAAUUUUGGUGUCAUUUUAAUCAAGUAAAUCUAUUUAUGUAUUUUCUAUUUAAAAAUUGAAGUACCAUACAUGUUUUUUAAUUUAAAAACAGAAGCUCUAUAUUUUUAAGGACAGAGACUAUCAUGUCACAUCAGUUUUUAUCUUCUUUCUUUUCAAAAACCUGAUUUUUCUUCUGCUUUGGUUGGUUCAUUUUCCUGGGCACAACAUAUCUUAUACAAAAAGAGUUCCUUGCUGCUCUGCUACCUGAGCCUUGGCUGAGACGGGUCUAUUAAAUCUUGGAGGGUUCUUGCGCCAUGCAAAUAAAUCCUUAAGGACAAUGUGCCUCCACACGUCUCAUACUGUUGCUGCAUUGUUUCUGGUUUUGCAUUGCUGCAGGGUUUCUGUUAUUGCAUGUGUUGUUGUUUCUUACUGAUAUUACGUUGCUGCUUCAAAUUUGACAACGAAAAUAUGGUCUGGUCUCCACUCUUAACAACUUACAUUUAGAGGAAGGAUUACCUUAUUUUAUAUGUCGAUUACUUUAUUAAGGUAUUUUUUCUUUCGAAUUUUAAUUGUAGUUUCUCACAAUAUAUUUUCCAUUUUUGUAUUAUAUUUCUAUCACCAUCUAUAAAUGUAUGUUAACACGAUUUCUGUAGAAAAGCUCUGCCGGUGCACCUUGCAACAUGCCGUCAUGUAAAGGUGGCAAAUGUUAUAAUGAGAGGGAUAUGUAACUAUUUAGACAGAAAAUCGUUAGCAAUAAUUUCUCUUAGAAAGGUUUGUCAAAACCAUGCAAUGGGACACUAACAACUGAUCGGCCAAUUUAUGCUUUUGAAGUUUGCCCCACUCCAUGUUCUAUCUAUUUUCUAUUUUACAAAAUAUAUAAAUUCUAAGACGCAGGCUGCCACAGUGUCUUUUUAUUUAUUACUAUCUCUGUUAAAGGUUUGUAGGUUGUUAUUAGGAAGAAUCUGGCUUGGUUAAAACUGUUGCCUCCGUGUGGGUGCAAGGAGUAGUGGUUAAGAGUCAACAACAUAGUGCUGGUUAGUUCUCCUUCGUUCUUUACAAAACAAUCUCUCAACAGUUUAUAUGGAUUAUAACUGCUAUAUAUGUCUUUUUUUUCACAUUUUGAACAUCUUUCUGUGCAACUUUGUAUAUACCAGUGCGGACACAACUGAUAAAGAAAACUGAUAUCUAGAACUUUUAUUUUCCUUGAAAAGAUUUGAAGUUUCUAGCUAUAUAUAUAUAGUCCAUGCUUAUUUUUCAGGGCUCACUGAUAGAAAGGAAAGAGUUAGCUGUGAAAAGGAUUUCAAACAAAUCUGGAUAAGGGUUGGAUGAGUUCAAAUAUGAAGUGGUGUGGAUUGCAAGCUGAGACAAACACAAACAGGGUUGUUGGGACAUAGUAUGUCAGUUUCCUUUUGGUUAUGAUUCUUUGAUAUUGUUCUGUCAAGGUUAUAUUAUUUUGUUUUGAAAUUAAUAUUCAAUGGUUAAAUGCCUCCUGAGUAUGCUGCGUGCCAGCAUUUCUUCAUGAAGGAGAAGAGAUUUUAAGAGUAAAGAGAGGAUUUUCAUGCCCAGACCACUACAAUAACGUUCUAGGACAUGUAACCAAAUUGGUAUGACUAUGUUGCUAAUUUAUAUAAACAGUUAUUUCUGACCAAAUAAUUUUAACUUUUGCCAUCUUAGGCAUGGAAAUUAUGGAGAGAAGAGAGGAAGCUGAACUGUUGGAUGAAGUAUUAGGAGAACAGUGCAUGUUCUCUGAAGUCAUACGAUACAUACAAGUAGUAUUAUUAUGUGCGUGCAACAAAGACCAGAAGAUAGGUCAUACAUGUCUUCAGUGUUUUUAAAUUUUAAUGUUGAAUUAUGAUAAAUUAUUGCCAAAGCCAAAAGUUCCUGGCUUUUACAAUGAAAUAGAUGUUACACCCGAAGCAAAUUCUCUGUUAGCAAAUCCAAUAUUGUGCUCAGUUAAUGAGGUUUCCAUCAAUUUUAGAUGCAAGAUAAAAAAUGGACGGAAGAAAAUGUUAAAGAUUCACCUUCCAAUUCAGGAUAUUUGAUAAUUGAUUUGAUAUUAAAUAUUAAAGGUUCUUGUACGAGCACCUACUUUGUAUCAUCUUUUAGUUUGUAAAAAUUACAAAUGUUAUUGCUUUUAGUCUUAAGCAUGAGACUAAAACUAUAUCAUUUAUGGAAAGCUAGUUUCAUCUUAAUGUUUUUUCUGCUCGUGUUAUUUGCUCUUAAAUAUGCUGCAGAUGCUGCAUGCACUGUACUACAGGUAAUCACCUAAAAAUAGACAGUUGUUCCCAUUCAAUUUCUGCUUGGCACCUUAAUAUGUACCUCGAGCACAUUUUUCUUUGGUGAACAAACUCAGAUAUUGGGAUCUCCAUCUAACAUAAAUUUUUCAUUGGUGAAGAUCCUAAUUUAAAGCACCCAAAGAUUAGGGAAUAAAAUAGCUGAGCCUGAGGAGUAUAAAAUGAAGGAAGAAAGCAAGAUUUUUGAGAAAAAUGAAGGAGCCUGAGGAUCUAUCAUCUGGGCAUUAUGGUAACUUGGGCCUAAUCAGUUCGUGCAUUUGGGCCUAUAGAAUGACCCUACAUCAACCAUUUAUUUUAAGCUACAAACUGCCAAUAUAUCACCAUAAAUUAUACAAGCUAGCACGCAAGCAUACAAGAAGAUCUCUGGAUCAUUGUUUGAUUGGUCCAAUACAGUUAAAUUUAUGAUUAAACUGCAAUUAAACUUUAGUCGAAUUGGAUACGUAGAUUGUUCAUGAUCCAACCAGUACAUUAUAUUGAACAUCUCCCAAGUUUAAUUUCUUCAUGGUGAUAUGUAAUAAUCCAUUCACCGGAUCUCAUCACACAUUUCACAUCCUUGUCUCAGCUCUUGCAUUCUAUGGAAUGGAAACACUUUUGAUGCGAUGAUUAUUUGAAUACAAGUUCCCUCCUGCAUGAAUAAUUUUUAUAAACCUUGCAGUAUUAUAAUAAUAACUUUCAGGGUUCUAUUCGUAAUGGACCAUUAAGUGUAGUCAAAUUGAGGAAUGGCAAAACUUAGACUACAUCAAAUGUAUUACUGAUAAGAAAUGUGUAAGUAUCUUCUCUAAUUGUAGCAUCCAAGUUCUCUAAAUGUGUAAGUAUUUUCUUCCAAGAGCUUGUGUUAAUACUGAAGAUUUGAGUCUAGCUGACUUGAUUUAAUAAUAAUCUGCAACAAUCUAUAAAUUAUUAUAUUCAGUGGCAAAAAAAAUAGGAAACCUAAAAUAAGUGUACAAAAACAAAUUAUUAGCUUAAGACCCACAAGGCUUGAAGAAUGAAAAUUCUAAGAUUCUACAAUUAUUAGCUUUAUAUUUCUUCACUGCCAACAGCCGACAGUAAUUGUCCUCGCUUUCAGAUUCUGCAAUAGCAAUGACUUCUAACACCACUAUCCAAAAACAUUUAAAAUUACUUGGUUGAAACAUAUAAAAAAUACUAAAAGUAAAAAAUCUUAAAAGUUUAGGCACAAAAAUAUAAUUUAUUAUUAUUUUUUGCAAAUGUUUUAUCUUAUUUUUCUACAAAGACUAGCUAAGACCAAACACAACCAAAUUUACAUAAACUUUAAAUAUUUUUAAUAAUAAUGAUAAUAAUAUAAUUAAAUAUAAAUGAGUCUCGUCUUGAAUGCCUAAAAAUAAAAAUAAAAACGCGUUAGCAUUAAUAUCUAUUGUCUUCACUAGAAAAAACCGGGCAAUGGAAAAAACAAAGAGGAAAAAACCGAACAAUAAAAACGCGUUAGCAUUAAUAAUGUUCAUGCUAGCUUUACAACAAAGAGGAAAACUUAGUCCAACUUGACAGUUCUGCGAGCGAAUUGAAAAUUGACAUUAACUUCUAAGGGAUGUGUGGAAAAUAAAGUCUUACUAUUUAGCUUAUAAAUUGAAUUUACGAUAAAAUAUCUUUUUAACUUCUAAUAAAUAUUUAAAUUCUAUAUUUUUUUAUUUUUACUCUUUGGUAAAAGAAAAGCUUUAUUUUUUGGUGUUUUGACACUUUUUUUAGUCUUUAAUAAAUUAAUAAAUAUUAUAUUUUUUCCUAAUAAUUUUUAGUUAAAAUAUAUCUGUGAUCCUUAAUAAAUAUUUAAUUUUUUUAUUCUUUGAUAAUUUUAUAUUUACCUUGAGUAUCAAAUAAAAUAAUAAUUUUAUUUUUACUUAUUGAUAUUUUUAAAUUUCUAAUAAAUGAAUUUUAUUCGUUCUCAGAUAUUUCCUUCAUAUCUAAAUUUAAGCUACAAAAAAAAAAUUAGACUUAAAUAUAAUCAAAUAUUAAAUAGCUUUUAUAUUAUAUUUAAUAAUAAUAUUUUUAUUUUGUCUUUCAUUUAAUAAAAUUUUAUCUCUUGUAAUAACCAGGCUAAUUUUAGAAAAAAAAUUGAAUUAAAUAUUACUAAUUGAAUUUCUUCUUUCAUACAUUUGCCAGCAGUUAAGUUUACUUAUAUUUAUGUUAGGGUAAUAUAUCUUUUAUCAUUUGUUAUUAAUUUUUUUCAAAAACAUUAAUAACAAAUGAAUUUUUUUUAUCAUACAAUACAUAAAAAAUUUUGAAUUUUUAAAGUUGAAUUUUACAAUAUUCUACACGAGCAAGAAGAAUAGGAAAUCAUGGUCUUAGAAUAUUUAUCUUUCUUAAAUAGACUAAUAAUGUCAUUCCGAUAAUUAUUACUUUUGACUUUAUCUUUCUAUUCUCUGAACUUUCUUUCAUAACUUUAAUUGAUGAUAAUGAAUCUUGUAGCAUGUGCAAUGGGCCUAUGUGGCAAGUUACACAUUGAAUAAGUGACGCGGUUUAUGCGGAUCCCACAUAUGGCAAAGAGGGGAAAACUCCACUAGCUGACUUGACUUAAUAAUCUCUAUCUAUUAUACAAGCAAGGCCCGGACUAUCGGAGCUCUGUCCUUUUGCCACCUGUCCCACUUCCGAACCCUAUCAUGUUGACACCUAUCUAAUUAUAGGCCUUCUUUUAUGCUUCUUCUUUGCUCAUUGUCGUGUUUUAUGCUUCUUCUUUGCUCAUUGUCGUGUGUUGCCACCUGUCCAAUAAUAAACCCUCUUUUAUGCUUCUUUGCUCUUCAGUCCAUGUGUUGCCACCUGUCUAAUAAAAAACCCUAUUUUAUGCUUCUUUACUCAUUGCUCACUUCAGUCCACGUGUCCUGCCCCUUUGUUUAUGUUCAUCCUGGCCAUUUUUGCUUCUUCCCUUUUCCGCUUUCCAUUUUUUUGCCCGUACCUAUAGCUGUCCUGUCGGGGUUUUUUUCUCAUUUCUUCUUUUCCCAUUUCCCAAUAUUGUCAUUGUUUUGUCAUUCUCAUCCCGUACCUCCACCUCUCCUGUCCUCACUCCGUUCACUAUUUCUCUCCUUUGGGCUUGCUUUCUUAACUUUUGGUUUGUGUUGCAUUUGCUUAUUUUUUUUCCAGUUAUGUGUUCAUUGUCUGUUCACCUUUUUCGGUUUCCUUUGGACUGAAGUGCUGAAAACAUGCGUGAGCUUUGCCUGAUUCUGAUUUACAUUGCUAUUGUUUAUGUCUUUCUGUUCGUUUUGAUGCCUACAACUGUUUCUAUUUUGUUCUUUUUUUUACACGUUUGUAUGUGGUUCGUUUUGGCCUUUAUGUUCAUUUGCUUGCAUGUGUUAAAAAACAUUCACCUUUGUCUUUGUUUUUUAUGUGUAUUGCUUUGGACUCUUCAUUUUCAUUCAUGUUUAAAGCUUUACCUUUGUAGUUGGUUUUUUUUGUGUAUAUUUGCUUUGUACUGAAAAAAAAAACUUGAGCUUUGUCUCAUUUUGAUUCUCAUUUAGUUUGGUUGUAUUUGGUUGUAUAUUGCUUUGGACUGAAAACAAAUGUUGUCUCAUUUUGAUUUUCAUUUGGUUUGGUUGUAUAUUGCUUUGGACUAAAAACAAAUGUGACCUUUGUCUGAUUGUCACUCUCAUUUUCUUUAGUACUGUUUAACUUCUUCUAUAUCCAGCUCUGGAACUGUCAUUUGGUUCUUCUUUUUCCAGGUUUGUAUUUGGUUUUUGUGUUUCUGUCCAUUUUCAUUCAUGUGUAAAAAUCUUUUAUUACCUUUGUAUUUGAUUUUUUUUUAUUUCCUCUAUUUUUGUCCAUCCUUCUUUUCUGUUACCCUUUACCUUUUUGUUGGGCUUUACUGACGUGUGUUGCUAUUUUCUUCUCUUAUAUGCAAGUUUCUAUUUUCGUCCAACUUUUUUUCCCGGAUUGCUCCUGUUUGCCACUGUUUGAAAAAUAAAAAAGGUUUGCUAAUGUCUGCUGUUGUUUUGUUCUAACCACGUUUUGAGUUAUGCAUUUCUGUUUGCCGCGGUUUUUUGCAAUAACAAAAAGAUUUUCAAUGUUGGUAUUGUUCCAACUAUUUUCUCCUGUUCAAUGUGAUUCCUAUUUUCUUUGUAUUUGUCUCUCUUUUUGUCAUUCCCAGUGGUCUUUAUUAUCCGUGUUGUAGCCAUGUCUCAGAAAGAAAAUCUGAUAUCUGAGUUACACACCAGAAAAGGAACAUGGAAAAUAGUUGUCCGUAUCACUGAUCUUUGGCAAGCUCAAAAGCAAAAUAGUAAACAAAUAAUUGAGAUGGUGUUGAUGGACCAAACGGUUAUUGUUGUGUUCUUUCUGAUUGUUGUUAUUACUCAUUUGUAUUGUAUGUCAUGUCACUUCAUUUUAUGGUUUAAGUGUUUCAGGGUUCAAAAAUUGGGGCUACUCUCUGGCAAGAACUGUUCACUGAAUUACAGGACAAGUUACAGUGUGGUUCUUUGUAUUUGAUUCAAAACCUGAGGAUUGUUGACAACCAAUCUGAAUACAGAGUCACCCCAGUUCCAUAUUUUGUUUAUUUCCUAAAAACUACAUCUGUCAAGGAAAUCCACCGUCCAGAAAUUCCUUCUAAUAUUUAUCUCAUUACUCCUUUUACUGAUAUAAUCUCUGGCCUCGCACCCCGCCAUACUUUAGUGGGUCAGUUUGUUUAGUUUUUUUGUUUAACCAACAAUUUGAUAUGCAUAUUUGUUUCAGACUAACAUUUGUCUUGCCUAGCCAUCUUUGACAAGAUAUUGUUGGUGUGGUUGCUGAUCUGAUCGAUGUUAAGACAGUUAAUCCCCCUCACAGGAUGACAAUCGGGCUUAGGGAUAACAGGUAUUCAAAUCUCCCAAUUUAACACACACACACACACACACACACACACACACACACACACACACACACACACACACACAUAUAUAUAUAUAUAUAUAUAUAUAUAUAUAUAUAUAUAUAUGUUCUCACACUAACCAAAUCAGACCAUUCCAGUUUGUCCUUAUUAUUUUAUAUGAUGAUAUAUGAUGAAUAGGUUAGCAACAACUAACAUACUGAUUGUGAUUGUUUGGUCAUAGUAACUGUGACAUUCUAAUAACUGUUUGGGAGGACUAUGCUAUUCAGCUACAUGAUGCUAUUGACAAAAACCUUCUGCUUCAAGAACCAUUGGUUGUUAUGUUGACCCUAGGUAAAAUCAAGGAUGCUAUAGGUGGUUCUGGUGUUGGUUAGUCUUUAUUAUGUAGAUUUAUUCACUUUGGGUGAUAAAUAUGUAUGUUGUUGAUGAUAUUGAUGGAUAUCAUUCUAGACAAGUAUCCCCUGAGCGUGCAAAAUAUCAAAUUUGGAUCUAAAUUGUAUGUCAACGCUGACAUUACAGAGAUACACCAAUUUCGUCAAAGGUUUGUCAUUAAAUUUACAUUUUUACAGUGUUGGAAUACUACAAUGUUCAUGUUUUUCAGUUUCUUUGCAUUUUUUAUACGCUUUAAUGGUCGGAUUCUAAUUUUUUAUAUUGUCGUCCAUUCAGUUUGUCUGUCCCAUUUUAUUCUGGUGGGAUAAUCCAUGAUAAAGAUGGUUCUCAGUCCCAAUCUAGCCAGAGUAAUGUGGUAGAAAAUUUUUUGCAGAAUGCUCAGGUAGUCAGUAUAGGUGAAAUCAACAAUCUCAAACAGAUUAAUAAUUGAACAAUGCUUUCGUUAAUAUGAGCUUUACCACAUGUUUUUUUCUUCAUCUAUUAUUUACCAUGUUACAGGAUUGUUACUGCUUAACUGUUGGAACAGUUGACGAAAUCAUCAUUGAUGCUCCAUGGAGUUAUGACAGUUGUCCUAACUGUACAACCACAUUUGAUCCAUCAAAAGGUGGCCCAGCUUGUCGUUCUUGCCAUACCAGUGUGAUCGAUACAGUUCCACAGUUAGCCAUGAUCAUUUUUUGUACUAAUUAUUUACUUACACGCUUUCCUGUUUUAGCAAAUUUCCCUUAAACUUCUAUGGAUGUCAAGGUAUAAAUUAAAUUUUAGGAUGGAGCAUAAUAGGGACAAAGGAAACUUCCUUCUCUGGGAUGCAACAUGUAUCAAGCUAUUUGGUAAGACUGCUGGAGAAUGUCGAGAUGAGUUGAUAGCGGUAUGUUCUACACAAUACAAUCAUAGAUUAAAUAAUGAUUCUGUGAUUUGUCAUUGAUACCAUUUACUUCACCUGUCUAGGCUAGGGAUGAUAUUAAGGUGUUUCCAACGUGUGUUGAUGAAAUCCUGUCCAAAACUUAGGCUGUCAGAUUUAAGUUUCGUUCACAAUUACGCCAAUCAUCUGUGUUGGAUGUGAGUGAAGAACUCCAUCAUAUUCAAUCAUUGAUAGCCACCCUUGGGUUGAAGGUAAUAACUAAAUAAGUUUAUCACAAUAUAAGGUCAACAACAAUAAAUGGUGUUUCUCCUGUGUUAAUAUUUUUCAUGCAUGAACAAUCAAGUAAGGGAAAAGCAAUAGCUGUUGAGCCAGAAAGUUCACCACCAAUUUUUGUUCCCACGGUGGGUCUUUUGUUUCAAUAUUGCAUGAUGCCAAAUAUUUAGUUAUGAUAUUGUUCUUAAUAUAUAUAUUGCUAAAUGUGUUCACAGCCAUCGUUGUCACAGUCUUCUGAUUACGAUCCCGGAAACUCCACCUGUUUAACUCCAACCAAAAGGAUUAAUUGUCAGCAAACCAGUUCUAAUUUUGAUUCUGAUGAGCAUACAUAGUAUCAGUUAUCAACUAACAAACAUAUCAAAGCUAAGUAAUUAGGGCUUCCACAAUCUUGUGGAUUCGGCUUCUAUGUUUUGUUUAACAUCAAUUUGAUCGUAUUGAAUUUGCUAACUGAGUACAUAUGACAAUAUAUUUUGUGCGGUCCACCAUCAUUUUAUAGCAAAUGAUGUAUAAACAAUCUAAUAUCAAAUAUAUAUGAUAAUAUUUAAUUAAAGUUUUACUUUUCAUUGGUAUUCAUCCGUCUCAUACUCUUUACUAUCACGAAUACCAUUACAAUUAUUAAAUCAAUAACAUAUAACCAUAUCAAUUAACUAUUCAAAUUGCCAUACGAUAACAUAUAAAUCGAUUCGGUUUGCUUUGUUUGCAUGUUACUAAGUCAAGUUCUAUUGUAUGACGAACAAAAUACUUGGUUUCAUGAAAUAUCCUCCUGUCAUAUUUACUGUUUUAUUAUAUAUUCAAUAUUCAAAUGUUGGGAUAUAUCCAAAUAUUAGCUUAUGUCAUUUAAUGGUUUAAUUUUUUUUAUUCUUAUAUUCAUAUUUAUUUAUGUUUUUAUAUAUAAUUAUAUAUAACAGGGAAGGCAUAACACUUAUAGUAGUGUUUCGUUCCUUUUUCAAGUAUAUAACAGGGAAGCAAAAAUGUUAAUGCACGGUUAUACGUUUUACAAACAAUUCUUUGUUUUUUGCUUUCAUAUAUGUUGGCAUAUUACACUGGAAUCAAUAUUAUUAUAUAUUUAUGUAUGGUUUUAAAUUUUAAUUCAAUUAGUAUUAGUAUUAGUAUUAAUAUUAUUAUUAUUAUUUUAAUAAUUAUAAUGAAUAAUAAAUAAUAAAUAAUAAUAAUUAUAUUAUAAUAAUAUUUUUUAAAAAUAACUCAUGCUUAACGUAUCCCAGACUUCCAAAAUUUAUUAUUAUUCAUAUAUUAUUAUUCAUAUAUACAAUAUACAAUACACGGACAAUAAUAGCAUUAAUAUACGUCUAUUGUUCUCUGAUUUUUUUCAAUACUUAUUAUUAUUAUUAUUUUGUUACUAACCUCAUUAUCUGCAAAUGCAGUUAAUGUGUACAGCUAUAAAAACAUAUGGUAUGAUUGUUCUAUGUUUUAUAGGCGGCUAUUUUUUGGGAUGCCACGCUCAAUGCAUUUAAUGAAGCAAAUAUAAAUACACCUUUACUAGCAACACUAACUAAGCUUCAUUCGUUAGCUGAAUUCACCAACUCUAUAAACUUAUUCCCCUCAUUCGACGGCCUUUGUCAAUCCCCAUUGAUGUCGAUCAAUCAAUAUCAAUAUCAAUAUUACUGGUAUCAAAACAAUUGUUAAAAAACUUUUGUUACUUCCAAUUCAUCUGGCAAUGCACCAUUUAUUUUCCAACAUUUUGUUUCCUCCCUCAUAAAAAAUUACAUGUUUACGACUUCAAUAAGAAAGACGAUGAUCAUAAAUGUUCAGACAACAGAGAAUUUGUAAACCUAACAUUUUAGAGCAGCAAACUAUUCAUACUACACUAAACCAUUGAGUAUGAAAUUUAAUGCGUGUUUGAAUACAAAUUUUUCUAUUGUUUUAUGUUGUUCUUCUUUUGCUAUUGCAAAUACAUAUCCUUUACUCGCUCAUGCAAAUGCAAAUAACUAUAAUGUUGGUAUCAUUUUAAAGUCAACCUACUACAACAAUUUAUUUAACUUAGUUUCAACGUUUGAUUUUGGUGUUGUUUGGCAAUUAUAAGCCAGUUGUUGCAGAAAUUGAACUACUCAUGGACAAAUAUGUUGAACGAAAGAAGCGUAGGAAAACUAUUUUACAACAACGAAAAAGACAACAUUCAGCUACUAAUGGUAAUACUUAAUACAAAUUUGUAAUUUGUAAUUUGUAAUUCAUUUAUACAUUAUUAUUCUUCAUAUCAUAUUAAUAUUAUAAUAUACUUACAAAAACUAUUGUUAUAGACAACUUGCAGUGUAUCUCACAAUGUAGUCCAACCAUUAACCAUGAUAAUAACCCCGCUACAAGCUUCCAAUGUACACCACCAUCACACAGGACUUUAUCUAUAAAUGAUUCUGAACAUUGCUCAAAAAGACAUACAGUCAAUUUUUCUUCCAUCUAGAAAAAUUUGAUGUCAUCUUAUGACAAUCAAAAAAAUAGAACAACUGCUUCUACUUCCACAUGCCAAGCUAGUAAUCGUUAUUCCAAUAUGACACAGUCUCACAUUGAUAUAGGUAAUUUUUAUUGUUAUGCUAUUAUCAGAUAUAUCUACAUAUACACAUUUUAUUUAUUAUUACGUCCUUUUCAAAUUUAAUUCUGCAGUCAACUUAUAUAUAAGAUGCCAAAUUGUCUGUUUAUUAUGCAGAUAAACAUCAGACAACAACUAACACUACACAGGAUAAUUAAUUUGUCACCCAUGACAGCUCACGUUCCACCGAUAAUGAUGUAAAUAUGACACAGGAAAACAUCAAUAUAGAUAUUUAGCAACUUAUUUAACACAAUUUCAACGUUUGAUUUUAGUGUUGUUUGGCAAUUAUAAGGCAGUUGUUGCAGAAAUCAAACUACUCAUGGACAAAUAUACUGAAAGAAGGAAGCGUAGGAAAACUAUUUUACAUCAACGAAAAAGACAACGUUCAGCUACUAAUGGUAAUACUUAAUACAAAUUUGUAAUUUGUAAUUUGUAAUUCAUUUAUACAUUACUAUUUUUCAUAUCAUAUUAAUAUUAUAUUAUACUUACAAAAACUAUUGUUAUAGACAACUUGCAGUGUAUCUCACAAUGUAGUCCAACCAUUAACCAUAAUAAUAACCCCGCUACAAGCUUCCAAUGUACACCACCAUCACACAGGACUUUAUCUAUAAAUGAUUAUGGACAUUGCUCAAAAAGAUAUACAGUCAAUGUUUCUUCCAUCUAGAGAAAUUUGAUGUCAUCAUAUGACAAUCAAAAGAAUAGAACAACUGCUUCUACAUCCACAUGCCAAAUCAGUAAUCCUUAUUCCAAUAUGACACAGUCAGACAUUCAUACAUGUAAUUUUUAUUGUUAUGCUAUUAUCAAAUAUCUACAUGCACACAUUUUAUUUAUUAUUACAUCCUUUUCAUAUUUUCUUCUACAGUCAACUAUAUAUAGAAUGCCAAAUUGCCUGUUUAUUAUGCAGAUGAACAUUAGACACCAACUAACACUACACAGGAUGAUCAAUUUGUCAGCGAUGACAGCUCAGAUUCCACCAAUAAUGAUGUAAAUAUGACACAGGAAAACAUUAAUAUAGGUAUUUAUCCAUUAUUUAUAUUUAUUUAUAUUUUGUUUCUUCCAUCAUCAAAUAAAUAAAUUGAAUAUUUUCGGCUGAUGUGUGUUAUACCAUAUCAAUAUAUAUAUAUAUAUAUAUAUAUAUAUAUAUAUAUAUAUAUAUAUAUAUAUAUAUAUAUAUAUAUAUAUAUAUAUAUAUAUAUAAAAUACUCAUUAAAUGACCCAACAAUAGAUGAUCUUGAUGAUUAUGAUGAACAGACCUUUCUAUCUACCUCAUAUGCAUACCAAAAUACAGGUUUGAACUUUCAACUAUAAAAUGUAUUCAAAUGUGUUUGAUAUAUUUAAUUAUUAUUCAUACCUUAUUUAUAGGUGGUACUUACAUUGAUAUUGGAGAUCCUGUAUGGGAAUGCCCACAUUGUAAAGCUAUGAUGUGGUAUGAUGAGAGGAUAAAUAAAUACAAACAAACGAACAAACCAAGGUUUGUCUUUGUUGCAUGAACCACCCCAUCCAUUGAAUCACUUACUUUUCAAUAACCAGGAUCCUAAAACUAAGAAUUUCCAGCAAUACAUACGAACAUAUAAUCUAAUGUUUGCCUUCACAUCUCCUGGUAUCAAAUUUGACAGAUCUUAUAACACUGAAAAAGGACCUCCAACUUUCCGUAUACAUGGACAAACGCAUCAUCUUAUUGGAAGCCUCCUCCCUAUUCCUAAUAACCCACCUAAGUUUGCACAACUAUAUAUUUAUGAUACAGACAAUGAGAUCAUCAAUAGACUUUCACAAAACCCGUUAGUAUUCAUACUUAUGUCACACAUAUAAAAAUUUACAUAUUCAAAUAGAUGUUUAUACUGUUCUGGCUAAUUUUUUAUUUACAGGAUGCACGAUAUACUUGAUGAACAGAUUAUCAUUGCAAUCAAAGACAUGCUUGAUCAUCACAAUCAUUAUGCCCAAAAGUUUCGAAUGGCAAGGGACAAAUUGCAUUCUACUGCAGUUCCAGACCUAAAGAUCAAACUGAUUAGUCAAAGACAAACAGACGGAAGGUUGUAUAACUUACCAACUACCACUGAAGUUGUUGCUUUGAUUGUUGGUGAUGAACACUAAACUGAUAAAAGAGAUAUUAUAAUAGAAAAACAAUCCAGACUUCUGAAGAGAAUACAUGAACUUCAUCCUGCAUAUUUGCCUUUGCAAUAUCCACUUUUAUACCCAAAUGAAAAAGAUGAUUACAAACUAAAUAUACCUCACAAAGAUCAUGCCAAUAUACAUACUGCAAAGAGGAAACAAGUCACAUUGCACAAAUAUUUUUGUUACCGGCUACAGUCAAGAACCAACGAAGCACAGACUAUACUUCAUUCCAGAAGAUUAUUUCAGCAAUGGAUUGUUGAUGGAUAUUGUAUGAUUGAAUCUCAAAAACUAAAUUAUGUCAGACAGCAUCAACAACAACUUAGGGUUGACAAAUACAUAAAUUUAACUGGCUCUAAUGAUCAUCCUGAAACACUUGGUAAGGACAAAGGAAAGAGAAUCAUACUGCCAAGUAGUUUUGUUGGUAGUCAAAGAUAUAUGAAGCAACUGUAUUUUGAUGGCAUGACAAUUUGUGGACAUCUUGGAUUUCUAGACUUAUUCUUAACAAUGACAUGUAAUCCAACAUGGCCAGAAAUACAACGCAAGGUCACACAAUCCAAUCUGACCCCCAAUAAUUGCCCUGAUAUUAUCACACGAGUUUUCAAAAUAAAACUCAAUCAAUUGAUGGAUGACUUAAAACAUGGCAAUAUCUUUGGUAACAUUAUUGGAUGUAAGUGAUAAAAAAUUCUAUGACUUUUUUCCUACUUUCUAAAUUGAUGUUUAUAAUAUAACUGAUGCAAGUUUAUUACAGAUAUUUAUACAAUUGAGUGACAAAAAAGAGGAUUGCCACAUGCCCACAUUUUCAUCUUUCUUCACCCUUCAAACAAGUUACCAAAUCCAGAAAAUAUUAAUCAAAUCAUUUCAGCAGAAAUACCUGACAAACACACCCAGCCAUAAUUAUUUGAAAUUGUCUCAAACCAUAUGAUGCAUGGACCAUGUGGGUUUGCAAAUAAAAAAUCACCAUGUAUGGUCAAUGGAAAGUGCAUUAGAUGUUUUCCAAAAAAAUUCCAUGGAGCAACAAUUGUUGACCAGGAUGGAUUCCCAGUUUAUAGGAGAAGAAAUGAUGGACAUACAAUAAUGAAAAAUGGAAUUGAACUAGAUAACAGAUUUGUUGUACCAUACAAUCCACAACUCUUAUUAAAGUAUAAAACACACCUAAAUGUGGAAUGGUGUAAUCAAAGUACAUCCAUUAAAUAUCUGUUAAAAUACAUCAACAAAGGUUCUGACCGUAUCACAGCUGCUCCUGGAAAUCAUCACAAUAGCAAUGGUGACAACACUCAGGUUCAAGAUGAAAUUAAACAAUAUCUUGAUUAUAGGUAUCCUUCUAUUCUCACCUGAUUCAAUUAACAAAAUCAUUUAACAUAAAUUAAUUUAGUUGAUCUUAUAUAUUUAACUCAAACUUACCAACAUCUGAUUCUAUCUUCAACAAUAUAUGUAUGCUACUUUAAUCAUUAGAUAUGUAUCUCCGCCAGAAGCAUGUUGGAAAAUUUUUGCAUUCCCAAUGCAUGUGCGUUCCCCAGCAGUGGAGCGGCUAUAUUUCCACCUUGAAAAUCAACAACAUGUUUACUGGACAGAUGAUCAACAAAUAGGUGAAGUCCUAUCAAAAAACACAAUCAAAGAAUCCAUGUUCACAGCCUUGAUGCAUUCUAACAAAAUAUAUUCUUAUGGACGGGAUAUUACAUAUCAUCAAUAUAUCUCAAGAUUUGUUUAUGUCGCCCGCAAAAGAUGCUGGCAACCAAGAAAACAAGGGAAUACAAUAGGCAGACUCAUAUGGGUCCCACCUUCAGUUGGUGAACUGUUUUACCUUAGAAUGAUGCUAUUCACUGCCAAAGGUGCACAGUCUUACAGUGACAUUAGAACAAUCAAUGGUGUGGUAUAUCCUACAUUUAGGGAAGCAUGUUUUGCAAAAGGCUUUCUAGGUAGUGAUCAAGAAUUUAUUAGUGCUUUACAAGAAGCUAAUAAUUGGGGUACUGCACACUACCUAAGAAAAUUAUUUGUCAAGCUUUUAUUUAUGAACACCAUGGACAGACCAGAAUAUGUUUGGCAACAGACAUGGCAAUGGAUUGCAGAUGAUAUCACAUUCAAUCAAAGAAAACAAGGUCAUUUUAUAUAUUCGAAAUAAUUAUUGUUUACUCAUAAUCAUUAUGUUUCUUAUUUUACUAAUCACAGGUAUUCGCCUUACUGUAAAGGAAACAAUCCAUUUAUGCUUGACUGAGAUUGAGAAUAUGUUACAAGCCAACAGAAGGAGCUUGCGAGAUUUUCCAUCCAUGCCAUACCCAAUAGGAUAUGCACGCAACCAACAACAUAAUAAUCUGAUCCAUAAUGAAAUGGCAUAUGACAAAGAAAUGCUAGCAGAACAAUACAACACAUCAUACCAAUUGCUCACAGGUAUUCACAAAUUAUGACAUAUUUGAUUCAGCAACUCCUCAAUCACAAUAGUGUAUAUUACUAUUUGUUAAUAUGUGAAUAUAUAAUUACAGAUGAGCAAAAAACUAUUGUCGAUACCAUUAUGCGUGUAGUUAACACUCAAUUAGCUGCAGUUUACUUUCUCUAUGGAUAUGGUGGAACUGGCAAAAAAUUUGUUUGGACAACCUUAUCAUCUGCUAUACGCUCCAAUGGUGGAAUUGUUUAUACAGUUGCUUCGAGUGGAAUUGUUUCAUUACUCUUGCCUGGUGGUCGGACUGCACAUUCCAAAAUUUGCUAUACCAGUCCCUGCAACACAAAAUAUAACAUGCAAUAUUCAUCAAGGCAGUGACUUAGCUGAAUUAUUAAAGGUUACAAAACUAAUAGUCUGGGAUGAAACUCCAAUGUGUCACAAAUUUGCAUUUGAGGCACUAGAUAAAAGCCUUAAAGACAUCAUGCAGAACAAUCUACCUUUUGGAAGGAAAAUUAUCAUUUUUGGUGGAGAUUUUCGAUAGAUCUUGUCAAUUGUUCCAAAAGGUAAUCACUCAGACAUCGGCCAUGCAACUAUAAAUGCAUCAUACAUUUGGGAUCAUUGCCAAAUUCUUAAACUUACAAAAAACAUGAGAUUGCUAUCAAAUGCUCCCCAACAGCCCAACAAUGAGGAGCUCAAACAAUUUUCAGAUUGGCUACUUGACAUAGGAGAUGGAAAAAUUGGACAACAUAAUGACGGAUUUUCAGAAAUCACUAUUCUAGAUGAGUUUCUUAUCAAGGAUUAUGAUGAUUAUAUCCAUGCUAUUGUUGAAGUCACCUAUCCCAGCUUGAUAGAUAACUAUAGUGACACAGAUUAUUUGCAAAAAAGAGUUGUUCUUGCCUCUAAAAAGGAAAUUGUUGACAAAAUAAAUGAUUAUGUCCUAUCACUUAUACCCAAUAACGAAAAGGAGUAUUAGUAUUGCAGCGCAGAUAGUAUUGAUAAAUCAGAUGAACUGUUCAAUCCUGCUUUCGCAUUAUUGCCACCUGAAUUUCUGUAUUCAUUGCAAACAUCAGGUAUACCUAAUCAUAAAUUAAAACUGAAGGUCGGAACUCCAAUCAUGCUAAUACGAAAUCUCGACCAGACUGAUGGUCUGUGCAAUGGAACUAGGCUCAUUAUCACCAAACUUGGAUCUAAUGUGAUUGAGGCUGAAGUACUUAUUGGGCCUAAUACAGGAAAUAGGACAUACAUACCCAAAAUAAAUGUCUCCUUCUGAAUCUCUAUGGCCAUUCAAACUUAUCAGGAGGUAGUUUCCAUUCAUAGUUUCUUAUGCUAUGACUAUAAACAAGUCUCAGGGACAAUCAUUACACCACUAGGACUGUAUUUGCCACACCCAGGUUUUAGUCAUAGCCAACUAUAUGUUGCACUUUCAAGGGUUAAAAGCAAAGAUGGACUUCAUAUUCUCAUACAUGACAAUGACGGUAAUCCAAAAAAUAUUACCACUAAUGUUGUUCACAACGAAGUCUUUGCCAAUUUAUAAACAGGUAUCCUUCCAUCAUACAAUACAAUUAUGUUGUUGCAUUAAUUACACCUUUCUAUUUGUUUGUUUUAUUCACUCUAACAUAUAACACAUGUAUCAUGUAUGUUGUCGCAUUCCAAAAUUGCUAUGCUGACUUCGGGGAAUUCAAUGCAACUUUAACAAAUUUAAUUUAUAUUACAUGGUCAAUAUCAAAUUGUUUAUUUCAUCGUAAUUUAUUUAUAUAACUGCAAAUCAUACAAUUAUUUACGAAAUACACAUACAAAUCCAUAUUAUGGUUAAUUAAAUUGAAAUCCUUUUUUAUUUAAUGUGAUUUAACGAAAAUGUUUUCGAACUCCUUGGACCACCCCUGCAUAUUUUGUAUUCGUGCUUACACUCCUAUACGAUUGCUUUCUGAACUUCCACUUAGUCUACAAAUAAAUACAACUUCAAUCCUUUUUUAUUUAAUGUGAUUUAAUGAAAAUAUUUUCCAAGUCCCUAGACCAACCCUGCACAUUUUGUAUUCGUGCUUACACUCCUAUACGAUUGCCUUUUCAACUUCCACUUAGUCUACAAAUAAAUACAACUUAUCCACUGCCAAAUUAAAAUUACACCAAUGAUUCCGUAUUCCUAAUAAAUACACUGCACAAUUGUUGUUGAACCCUUACUUUUCCCAAUACGUACACACUUCCUACACGCUUUCUAUCCCUGCUUACUCUGCUAUUAGAUUGCCUUCUGAACUUCCACUUUGUCUACCAAAAAAUAUGACUUUCUCAUCCCACAUAAAACUUACACCACUGAGGCACCUUUGUAAAAAAUGCACUAAGACAAUUACUGCAGUUGUAUCUCCCUAUACUACAUCAAAUGUAAUCAUUAUCAUACAUUUGUACUCUAAAAUAAUAAUAUCGGGAGAUGUCAGCGCUGUAUACGGUUGUGACUCUUCACAACUCUUUUUUGCAUCCUUCAACAACAGAGAGUCACCAUUUAAUUUGUUAAUUAAAUCGGUCAUUAUAUCGAUAUAACACCACCGCCACUUACAACACUUCUAUACACAUAUAUCUAUCUAUACUGCACUUCCUACUCAUCUUCUUCGCAUCCUGCCAAAACAAACUACACUUCCUAUUCAUCUUCUUUGCAUCCUUAUGGCCACUUCCGCAUCCCGCUCCACUAUUGUAAUUUAUUUCCUUUGCUUCUCAUUUUCAUCUUUCUUAUAUUUGUUUGCUCUGUUCCUUUGGUUACUUAAUAUUUUCACAUUAUUCGCGUAGUUCCACGCGAUGCAAUGGACAACAUAAGAUUUACGACACCUUUCAAAGUUCAAAAGGUAACAUUUCAUAUAAACAACUAUUUUCUACUUAACUAAAUUUCCAUUUUUUUUCAACUACCUUGCUUUACUUUCUUUGCCUGCAGAACCUUCUGCAAGUUCCUUACUCUUAUCAUAGACAAUGGCUCCAGAAUUACCCAAAAUAUGUUUUAUUCCACUGUGAUGGCAAUAUACAUUUCAUCCGGGUAAGAACACAUGGUACUAAAUGCUUCUUUGUUGAUGGCUUAAAUGAUUUUAGAAAGGCACACAACCUAAACGAAAGCGUCAUUCUACGUUUCGUUGCUGCUGACAAAAAUACCACUUUCACAGUUCAUAUUGACGGACCUACACACCACCACUCCAGCCUAAAGCCCAUUAUAUAUAGAAGAAGAUACAUUUUUACAGCUGAUAUCACACAUGAUAUGCUACAAAACAACCUUCCUUUGGUACGUUAUACUACACUUUUUUAAAUCUAUGAUAAUUUGUCGUUGUUUCCUCAUCAAUUUGUUUAACCAUCCUUUGUCUUGAUCAUGCAGAUACUUCCUGCAGCAUUUUUGAAAUUUGUCUAUGGCUCAAAAAAAAGUAUUACCAUCCACCGCGGACUUCCAAAAUCCACCCAAUGGCAACUCAGCAUCCACAAUGACAUGCCAGCUAUUACAGAACCAUGGUUCAACUUGAUCCAGGACAAAAAUUUGACACCUGGAGAUGAGGUAGCUUUCUACUACCGUUUUCAUGAGCAUGCAUGGGAACUGCUCAUCAGGAAAACUAUUGAAUGGGACAACAAUGACACCGACUUUGACUUCGACGAAUGAGUACUUUUAUAUUCAUCUUUAUUUUUAAAAAGGUUGAAUAUUUUGUGGUUUUUGUUUCCUCCUAUUACCAGACAAUUUCUUGACUAUAACUGCACCGUUGCUAUUUUAAUAUUAACAAUAUUUACGUUCUCUUAAUUUUGCUCAGCCCUCUGUUUUUCUUUUGGUAUUUAUAUUGAUUUACUGAACUUUGGCUUCCAAAUUACGUUGAAGGCCAUGCCUUUUGUUGGUAUUUAUACGAAAAAAGAGAUAGCUCAAUAUUGGCUUCUAAAAGAUUUUUUUUUACAUUAUAAAUUUUUUUUUCCUCAAUUAGAUUAAAAAUUAUUUAGGAUAAGAAAAGGUUAUUCCAUAAUAUAUUGGUUUGUGUUGCAUUUGCUUCUUUUUUUUUUCCAUUUCUUCUUUUCCCAUAUUGUCAUUGUUUUGUCAUUCCCAUCCCGUACCUCUCACUCCAUUGACUAUUUCUCUCCUUUGGGCUUGCUUUGUGAACUUUUAGUUUCUAUUGCAUUUGCUUUUUUUUUUCCCGGUUGUGUAUUCAUUGUCUGUUUACCUUUUUCGGUUUCCUUUGGACUAAAGUACUGAAAACAUGCGUCAACUUUGUCUGAUUCCGUUUUGAUGCCUACUACUAUUUCUAUUAUGUUUUUUUUUCACACGUUUGUAUGUGGUUCGUUUUGGCCUUUAUACGAAAAAAGAGAUAGCUCAAUAGUGCCACCACUAAAAUUGUUCUAAAACAUUAUUUUUUAUACAUUAUUAUAAUUUUUUUUGCUGAAUUAGAUUAAAAAUUAUUUAGGAUAAGAAAAGGUUAUUUUUAAAUAAUAUUAUCCCACAAAAAAUUGUUUACAUUAUAUUAUUUAUAGAGAUUACAAAAUUAUUUAACAUAACAACAAAUUACUUUUAAGACUGAAACAUUUUUUAAAACAAAGACUAAAAGAUUAUUUUACAAAAGAACUUAUUUUUUUUAUAAGUGUAAAUUAUCUUUUAUAAUGAAAAUAUUACUUUCAUAUGCCCACUAAUUAUGCGAAUUUAGUCUCUCUUCAAAAUAAAAUACAUCUAAAAUUACAAAAUUAUUUAGCAUAACAACAAAUUACUUUUGUAGACUAAAACAUUUUUUUCAACAAACACUACAAGAUUAUUUUACAAAAAAACUUAUUUUUUUUAUGAGUGUAAAUUAUCUUUUAUAAUGAAAAUAUUACUUUCAUAUGCCCAUUAAUUAUGCAUAUUUAGACCCUCUUCACAAUAAAAUACAUCUAAAAUAAAAAUUUUCCUGCAAAACCACAAUAUUUUUAAAUUUAUUUCCUAUGUUUCUUUUGUAUAAUUUAAAUCAAUUUCAAAAUGUUUUCAACACAAUCAACUCUUCUUACAAAUUCUCUUUAUGUUAUAUACAAACAAUACCCUGACAAAUAGUAUUUAUGUCACUUACAUUAAAAUAUCAACCCGUGCAUCGCACGGGCCAGCCACUAGUAAUAAUUUAUAACAAUCUAUAAGUUAUGCUAUUCACCAGAAAAAAAGGGAAAACUAAAAUAAAGUGUGAAUAAGGGACGCGGUUUCUGUGGACCCCACAUAUGGCAACGAGGGGAAGAAGCUGUCAAGAAAAACUCAUCAUUUUCACUGUCCAUGAUUUCUUUGCAUCCAUAAACCAUUCACCUUCCUUCGAAACUUCACAGCUUUUGCAAUGGCUUCUAACAUAUGACAAGUGGGGGAAGAAGCUGCCAAGAAAAACUUCUCAUUUUCACUAUCCAUGCUUUCUUUGCAUACAUAUACCAUAUAUCUUAAGUUUAAUAAAUAAAUAAAAAUUAGGUUAAGUUUACACAUUUUUUUCUAUAAUUUUAGGAUUAGUAUAUUUUUAUCCCUAUAAUUUGAAAAUAACUUUUUUAGUUUUAUAGUUUACGUUUAAAUUCACUUUUAAUUCGUAUAGUUUAAAAAUGAUAUUUUUAAUUCUUUUUUUAUCCUUUCAAUUUGAAAGUGAUUUUUUUAAUUUUAAUAAUUUACAUUUUAAUUAUAUUUUAGUCAUUGUUAAAAAAUUAUUAAAAAAAUAAUUUUAAAUAAGUUAUAAAUUAUCAACUAUUUUUUAUUACAAAUGUGAUAAAUUAUUUAUGAAUUAAUUAAUAAUAUUUUUAUGGUUAAUUGUAAUUGAUAAUAUUACUCAUAUAUAUUUUGGUAAUAAUGACUAAAAAAUUAAAAUAUAAAAUAUAAGAACUAAAAAAAUCAUUUUCAAACUAUAGAGAAUAAAAUAAAAUAAAAAUAUAAAUCAUAAGAAAUAAAAAAGUUACACCAGAAAAAAGUUUUUCUAUUUUGAUAAUUUUAUUUCUCUCCCAAUAAAAUCAAAAUACACCUCAAACAAAUAUUCAUAUGAAAAAAAUAUAUACAUUAUUUAUUUAUUUAUUAUUUGUGAGAAUCAUAUUGAUUUUUUAUAAUUAAUAAUUUAAAAAACCGCUAAUAGUUUUAAUGUUAUGUACCAUGAAUAUCAACUGUAGUCAAAUCGAGGAAUGACAAAACUAAGAUCGCAUCAAAUGUCUUACUAAUGAGAAAUGUGUAAGUAUUUUCUCUAAUUGUAGCAUCCAAGUAGACAUGGCAAGAAAAAUCAUACCCGUGGGGAUCCGUCCGAAUCCGUUUUAACUUUAAUAGGUAAUAUUCGAGUUGACCGAGUAUGAGUUCGGGUUCGGAUUUUUCCCGAUAACCAAAAGUUGGGUACGAAUAUGUGAUUACUAGACCUGUCCCGACCCCGAACUCGAACCCGUCCCGCUACUUAAAAUCUUUAGAAUUUUUGCAUAAUUUAAUCAAAAGGCAUAGGAUUUUUAUUACUAGUUAAUUUUAUUUUAGAAUUUUUACAUAAUUUUAUAUUAUUUUCUUAACUAUUUUUGUAGACACACGCGCUAUAAUAAAUUUAUUAAUAUAUAAGUAGUUAAAAACAAAUGUUUAACAAUCAAUUUAUUUUUUCUAAAAUCAAAUUUUUAAUAUUUUUUUAUAAAAAAAUAUUUUUUUAAUUUGAAUCGUGUAUGGGACGGGAUCAGAGAUAUCUGAUACCCCAUGGGUACGGAAAUGAGACAAUAAACUUAAAUUCGUCGGAUAUCAGGUAUGACUAUGAAAUAUGUUGAAAAGUCAAAGUAAAGAAUUAAAAAGACAAUACUCAUACACAUCCUACCCCAUUGUCAUGUCUACAUCCAAAUCCACACUUAUACCUUAUUCACACGGCAGUGUGUCAUAAUUUUCUUCCAAGAGAUUGUGUCAAGAUUGUCUAGCUGACUUGACUUAAUAAUAAUAAUUUACAAUUAAAUAUAAAUUAGUCACGUCUUGAAUGCCUAAAAAAAUGCGUUAGGAUUAAUAUCAAUAGUCUUAUCAAUAGUCUUCACUAGAAAAAACCGCAUAUUUUUAUCUCUAUAAUUUGAAAAUAAUUUUUUAUCUUAUAAUUUAUAUUUAAAUUUUUUAAUACUAUAUUUAAAAGUAGUAUUUUUAUUUCUUUUUUAGUUCUUAAAAUUUGAAAAUCAUUUUUUUAUUUUUAUAAUUUGUAUUUUAAUUAUCUUUUAAUUCUUACUAAAAAUAUAAAAAUAAUUUGUUAUAAAAAAUUAAAAUAUAAAAUAUAUAAACUAAAAAAAUUACUACUAUACAAAUUAAAAUAAAAUUAAAAUUUAAAAUUAUAAAAAAAUAACUUUCAAACUAUCUAGACUAAAAUAGAAUUAAAAUAUAAAAUGUAAAAUUAUAAAAAAAAAAAAUAACUUUCAAACUAUCCGGACUAAAAUAAAAUUAAAAUAUAAAUUAAAGAAAAAAAACCUAUUUUAAAACUAUAAAGAUUAAAGGAUAAAAAAUAAAAAUAAAAUGAGUAAUUAAACAAUACAAAAAUUAAAGAAAAAUAAAGGAAAAGUGAACCGAAGAUGACAGCACAAGGUAGGUUGAAAAAUGAAAAUCCUAAGACGCAAUCGUGACAUGAGAAACUGACGAGUGAACUACAGUUAUUAACUUUAUAUAAAGCAAAUUGGAAAAAUAAAGAAAGAAUCGUUUCUUUCUACAAUUAUUAGCUUUAUAAUAUUUCUUCACUGCCCAUAGUUAUUAUCCUCGCAUUACGCUUCUGCAAUUGCAAUGGCUUCUAAGGCCAUCAUCCAAUACAGCUCUUCUUCUUCUUCUUCUCAUGCGAUCAUCACUACAUAUGAUGUGUUUGUCAGCUUCCGCGGUGAAGACACGCGCAACAACUUCACUGCUUUUCUCUUUGAUGCUCUCUUUGAAAAUGGCAUCCAUGCCUUCAAAGAUGAUACACAUCUUCAGAAAGGCGAAUCCAUAGCACCCGAGCUGCUACUGGCCAUUCAGGGGUCUCGCCUUUUCGUUGUGGUCUUCUCAAAGAACUAUGCUUCCUCAACUUGGUGCUUGCGUGAACUUGCACACAUCUGCAACUGCACUAUUGAAGCAUCCCCGAGUCGUGUUCUUCCAAUUUUCUAUGAUGUUGAUCCAUCAGAGGUGCGGAAACAGAGUGGUUAUUAUGGGAUUGCCUUUGCAGAACACGAAGAAAGAUUCAGAGAAGAUAAAGUGAAGAUGGAGGAAGUGCAGAGAUGGAGAGAAGCUCUGACACAAAUGGCCAACCUCUCUGGCUGGGAUAUCCGAAAUAAGUAAGUACAAAAUUAUAUGCAGUCAGUCAUAUUAUAUCCAUGUGCAUACAUUUCAUCAUUUCUUAGUCAAGUUGUUUUUAUCAAACUUAUUAUCGCUUUCUAAAGUAGAGUUCAUAGAAGUUGAGGACGUAACAUGCAAAUUGACUCUAAAUAUAUACAUGUUUAAUGCAAAUGGUGUUUAAAAUCUCUGAAAUUAUCUUGCCCUGUACAUCUAUACAUUAUGUUGUGGUUCUGAUAAUUUUCCAUUCAUCAUUUUCUUUAAAUUUUCAGGUCACAACCUGCAAUGAUUAAAGAAAUUGUUCAAAAAAUAAAUUAUAUAUUGGGUCCCAAAUUUCAAAAUCUUCCAAGUGGUAAUCUGGUUGGGAUGGAAUCCCGUGUUGAAGAAUUAGAAAAGUGUUUAGCAUUGGAGUCGGUCACUGACGUUCGAGUUGUCGGAAUUAGUGGAAUGGGGGGAAUAGGAAAAACGACUCUUGCCCUUGCUUUAUACGAAAAGAUUGCUUAUCAAUAUGAUGAUGUAAACAAAAUUUAUCAACAUUAUGGUUCAUUAGGUGUACAAAAACAAUUACUUGAUCAGUGUCUAAAUGAUGAAAAUCUAGAGAUUUGUAAUGUUUCUAGGGGAACAUAUUUGAUAGGGACUAGGCUACGCAAUAAACGAGGACUUAUAGUUCUUGAUAAUGUUAGUCAGGUUGAACAACUACACAUGUUUACAGGGAGUAGAGAGACUCUAUUACGUGAGUGCCUAGGUGGAGGGAGCAGGAUCAUCAUAAUUUCUAGGGAUGAACACAUAUUAAGGACACAUGGAGUAAAUCAUGUUUACAGAGUUAGGCCAUUGAAUCAAGACAAUGCUGUUCAGUUAUUUUGCAAUAAUGCUUUCAAAUGUGACUAUAUUAUGAGUGAUUAUAAAAUGUUGACACAUGAUGCACUAUGGCAUGCUCAAGGCCAUCCCUUGGCAAUUAAAGUAAUAGGCAAAUCCUUGUUUGGUCUAGAUGUUUCGCAGUGGGAAGGUACAUUGGUUAGGCUAAGUGAAAAUAAAAGUAAGAAUAUUAUGGACGUGAUACGAAUAAGUUAUGAUGCUCUGGAAGAAAAAGACAAGGAAAUAUUUUUAGAUAUUGCUUGCUUUUCCGGUCAGCAUUAUUUUGAGGAUAAUGUGAAGGAAAUCCUAAAUUUUCGUGGAUUUAAUUCUGAAAUUGGCCUCCAAAUUCUUGUUGAUAAAUCACUCAUAACCAUUAGUUACGGGAAGAUUUAUAUGCAUGACUUGUUGAGAGAUUUAGGCAAGUGUAUUGUUAGAGAAAAAUCACCUAAAGAGCCAAGAAAGUGGAGUAGACUAUGGGAUUGUGAAGAUCUCUACAAAUUUAUGUCGAGCAAUAAGGUAUAAUGAAUUUUUUAAUGUAUAAAUCUUAGGUUGCUCAAUUUUUUUUGGAAUUUGUAUAUACCUCAAAGAUCUAAUAUUUUCUUUUUUGUUUGCAAUGUUGUAGGAAGCAAAAAAUCUGGAAGCCAUAGUUGUUGAAGAUGAACCAGGGAUGUUUUCUGAAACAACAAUGAGAUUUGAUGCUCUAUCAAAAAUGAAAAAUCUUAAGUUGCUUAUACUUCCCAGGUAUUAUGAGAAGGGGCUUUCCACAAUUGAGGAGGAGAAAUUUUCAGGAAGCCUUAAUUAUCUUUCCAAUGAAUUAGGAUAUCUUAUUUGGCAUUUUUAUCCCUUUAACUUUCUACCCAAGUGUUUUCAGCCACACAAUCUUGUUGAGUUGAAUCUUUCUGGGAGUAACAUCCAACAUUUAUGGGACAGCACACAGGUAGUGUAAAUUUUUAAAUUUUUAUGUUUUUUUUAUUUUCUUUAAAUGAAUGUAUUUAUAAUUUCAAAUAAUUAAUAAUUAUGGUCCAGGUGUUGUUUUUAAUUUUGUCUCUUUCUAUUGGCCUUCAUUGCAGCCUAUACCCAAUUUGAGACGUUUGAAUGUCUCUGACUGCGAUAAUCUAAUCGAGGUGCAAGAUUUUGGUGAGGCCCUAAAUCUCGAGAGACUAGAUCUCAGUGGAUGUGGACAACUCAGUCGGUUCCAUCCAUCCAUUGGUUUUCCUAGAAAUCUUACCUAUUUGAAUUUAAGUGACUGCAAAAGUCUUGUCGAGUUACCACAUUUUGAACAGGCCCUAAAUCUUGAAAAGUUAAAUCUGGGAGGAUGUGAACUACUAAAACAGCUACCCCCAUUCAUUGGUCAUCUAAGAAAGAUUACAUUUUUAUUAGAUUUGCAAGAGUGUAAAAGUCUCACUGACUUGCCACAUUUUGUAGAGGACCUAAAUUUUGAAGAGUUAAAUCUCUAUGGAUGUGUACGCUAAGGCAGAUACAUCCAUCCAUUGGUCAUCUAAAAAAGCUUACUCAUUUAAAUUUGAAAUAUUGCAAAAGUCUCGUAAACUUGCCACAUUUUGUAGAGGACCUAAAUCUUGAAGAGUUAAAUCUCCAAGGAUGUGUACAACUAAGGCAGAUACAUCCAUCCAUUGGUCAUCUAAAAAAGCUUACUCAUUUAAAUUUGAAAUAUUGCAAAAGUCUCGUAAACUUGCCACAUUUUGUAGAGGACCUAAAUCUUGAAGAGUUAAAUCUCCAAGGAUGUGUACAACUAAGGCAGAUACAUCCAUCCAUUGGUCAUCC
rnacentral:lncRNA from 1 species